rnacentral:lncRNA from 1 species
CAUGCACUGAUUUCUCUGAAUCAACACUAAAUCUUGUGGUUAUGUUGGGACAACCUUCUACUUGUAAAUCAAUCAAAAAUGGGAAAACAAAAUGAUAACCCACAGGGCUGAAGCUCACGAGGUUUGGUAGCUCAUCAAGCCGUAAGUAAGUUAAUCGAGGUAGGUGCAUCACUUUCUCUUCGUCCUUACUCACAUUUGGCUCAUCUCCUUCAAACACUUGCUUUAAUUUGGAGACCCUUCUAAGGUAUAAUCGACCUAGGUUUGGAAGGCCGCCAUGAGCAAGAGUAAGGGGAAGAGACAUUUCAAGUUUUCACAGUUAAUGAUUCUAAUCAAAUUCAAAUUAGGGAAGCAAAUAGGAUGGAGAUGAUGUUGUGAUGAAGUUUGAUCCUUCUCAAUUAUUUGCUCCAAAUUCCUCACACUCAGAUUUAUCCAAAGUCCACAAUUGUGGAAAAUUUCGAGCGAUGGUAGGUGAGAAGAUGUAUCUUAGCCUUCUGCAAUCAUGGACUGUCAAUGAGUGAGAUUUUGAAAGUGUUCAACUUGGAUGGGACCACUCCAUAUCACCCGCGAUUCAGUUAGUUUGGACAACAUUAGGAUCUUUAGAGUUGAAAGAUUAUAUCCAGAAUAUUCAAAUAACUCUUCAAAAUUGGAAAUUGUUAAAUAUUCCGUACAUGUUGAUGUUCCUCCUCUCCUUUCAGGGACUGUCACGUUGCUUAUUUGCUUCUUUUCUGUCAUCUCUGACAACUCCAAUUCCUAUAAACAUAUCAUCAAUUUAAGAAUAAGCACAAGAUUUCUUUUUCAAUCUUUUAUAGUCAAAGAAUUCAAAUUUUUAAAAAGUUUACUGUUCAACUCAAAUAAUCAUAAAUUACAAAAAAAAAAUAUGGGAGGGUUUGGGUAAAAAUAUAGGCCCGAAAUAUGGGCUUGGACAAAAAAAUUAGGCCAGUUUAGAAAACGGGCCGAGCCUCAAGUACCACUUUUUUGGCCCAGGCCCGGCCCAGCCCGAAUAUAAUAAAUAUAUUUUUUAUUUUUAAAAAUAUUUUUAAAAUACUUUUUUUAAACUUUUUUUAUUUUUAAAAUACUUUUUUUAAUUUUUAAAAUUUUUUUGGUGUUUAUUUAAAAAAUGGGUCGGGCCGGGCCCAGGCUUAGGAAUUUUUCCCGGGCCGGGCCUGGACAAAAUUUUAGGCCCAUAUUUCGGGCCGGGCCGAGCCCGGGCCUAGGACAAUGGCUAAAAUUUUUUUUAUGGGCCCGGCCCGGCCCAUGAGUACCUCUAGUCGCCACCGAUAUUUUUUUGAGGUGUGAUCAGAUCACCUUAAAAUAAUUUUGGUCUACGAAUAAAAAUGGGUUCGGGAGCCAGUUACGCACGAGGAAGGAUUAGCACUCUUGUAACACCCAAAAUUGGUACCGAAUUGAUUAAUUAAUAUCUUAAAGUCGAAUGUCAAAAAUUUGAAAAGAUUAAAAAUGAUCCCCCUCUUAUUAAUAACAUAUUUUUAAACAAUAUUUGUAUAAAUUUGAACAUAUGUAGAAAGACCCUCUCAUCUCGAGGCAAUAAAAUAUCGUAUCUCGUAAGUUAGGAUGCAACAUUUGAAUACUCAAGCAUAAGCUAACCUUUAAAAACCUUUAUUGAAACUUUAUAUAUUUGAAAACUAAAAAUAUUUGACCAUCUUGGUUCAAUGAGGAAAUCGAAACCCUGUAAGUUAGGGCACAGUUCCUUGAAGUUCCAAAGACGACAUAUAAGUUUGCCUUUAUUAAGAAAAACAUCAUCUCGAGAUAUUGAAAUGUCAUAUCCAAUGAGUUAGGACACAACGUUUCGAAUUCCCGAGAUAAGUUUUGAUUUGAAAUUUUUACAUUUGAAUUGAAAAAGGGAUACUCAGUUACUUAAAUUCAACGAGGAAAAUUGAAGCCCAGUAAGUUAGGGCACAAUCUUCUCGAAAAUCUUGGAUACCGAGUAUUGCUUUAUUUUGAAAACUUUUGAAUAAAACGAUUUUAAUGCUUUAAUGAAUCGUAAUCUUUUUGACAAAUGAAACGCAAUGGGAUGACAAUGUAUAACGCGAAAUGAUAGUAAACUAAAAUGUACGCUAAUGAGCGGCAAAGAAUCAAUAAAUACGAAUAAAAAACACCAUACAUAUAAGAGCAAUAAUCUCACAUCACAUGUAAAUAUCAACAUUUAAAAGCUAAUGAACUAAAAGCUAAUCUUAAAAGAAGUACCAAGCAAAUUAACACAAAUAAAAUGUAACAAGUUAUUAAAAUAACUAAAAAAAACAAAUAACAUGAAAGAAGGGAAAUUAUAUAUUAAAAUAAAAAUUUUAUAAUAACUAAAAAAACAAAUAACAUGAAAUAAGUAAUACAUAUAGAAUGAAAAACUUCAUAUAAAUAAUAGUAUAUAGUAGUAUAUGUAAAAGGUUAGAAUGGGCAAAAUAUAAUAAAAUAAUAUUUUUUAAAUGAAAAUAAAUCAUAGAUAUAGAGACAGAUAAAAAAAAAGAUGUAUAGUAAUAUGAAAUCACAAUAUAUUGUGUAUGUAUGUAUGUAUAAUAAAAAUAAUUUAAUAUAAAUUGUGUACAUAUAUAAAAAAUAGUAUUGUAUAAGAAUAUUAUUGUAUAAAUCUUUAAAGAUGAAAUAUAUAAAAGUGGAUUUUAAAAGUAUAUUAUAAAAUAAAAGUUAUUAAAAAUAUAUAUUAUAUUGGAUUAAUAGGAAGAAAAUAAAAUAAUUCAUUAUAAAAUUAAAUAAUAAUGAAUGAUAAUAAUAUAAAAAAAUUUAAAAUAAUAGUACUUAAUAGGAUAAUAUAUAUAUAAUAAGUAAAGGAAAAUAUAACCAAAUAUAAUAAUAAUAUAAAUAAUAAUAAAAUUAAUAAUAAAUUAAAAUUAAACUAAUUAAUUUAAUAGCAAAAAUAACAAGACAAAGGACUAAUUUGGAAUUAAAACAGAAAUGUAGGGGCAAAUCUGAAAUAAAUAAAAAGGAAAGAACCACAAUGAACGCGCGAAUAAAAGCGAAGGGCCAAAAGGAAAAUUAAUCCUUGCCUUCCAAAACGACGUCGUUCGAUUUUGGACCUAAUUGAAAUAAAAAUAAAUAAUGGGGUACAAAUUAAAGAUAAGAAAGACUUGAUUGCAAACACACAAAAAAGAGGAAGGGCUAAAGGUGCAACUAGCCCCUCCAUUAGAAUACACGCGGAUCGUAGGUCCGGAUCGGGUCGCGGGUUGGCCCCCAAAACGACGUCAUUUUGGGCGUCUGGGGGUCCUAAUGAAACGGCGCCGUAUUGUAUUAUUAUUUAAAAAACAUUUUGUAGCCCAUUUGUUUUUUAAAAACUACUGUUUUCUUCCUCCUCUAGGGUUUCGCCCACAGCCCCUAUGGUGCCACCAUAUCCGCCGCUCCUUCGCCAUGGCUCCGCCAAGGACGGCGAUCUAUGCCGGCGAGGAGAUCACGGACCCUUGGUAAGUCCCCUCUCUUCCCCUCUCUAUUAUUCUUUUUUUUUUGUAUUUAAAAAAAAAAGCAAAUCGAAACUAAAAGGAAAAAACAAAAAGAAAAAAAACAGAAUACUACCUUCUCUCUAUUUUCGUAUUUGAAAUUUUCUACUUGUGAUAAAUAUUCUUUUGCUUUUUUUUAUUUCCUUCGUGAAUCCCUUUACAGAUGCAAAAAUCGGCUUUAUAUAGCCGAAUGAAAAUACAAAAAUUAUUUAUUUUUUCUUUUAUAUUUUCUCUACUAUUUGCUGUCACUGUUUGUUGUGAUUUGCGUUCGUUGCAGGUUCGACCAGCCUAGAGUAGAGGUGCUCAUGGGCCGGACGGUUCGACCCGGCCCGACGGCCCGCCCGAAAAAUGGGAGGGUUCGGGUAAAAAUAUAGGCCCGAAAUAUGGGUUUGGGUAAGAAAUGAGGCCCGUUUUAAAAACGGGCCGGGCCUCGGGUAAAAUUUUUUUGGCCGCCCGAAUUUAAUUAAUAUAUCUUUUUAUUUUUAAAAUUGAUUAUUAGUUAUUAGUAAUAACUUAUUAGUGUCAGUUUUCAUUAAUACAUUUCCCAUUUCCUUUCCCUUCCCUUCCCCAUUUCCCCGACCCCAGAUAAAUCCCUAACCCCUUCCCUUCCUUUUUUUUCCCCCAAAUUGGAAAUCCACCUCCACCUCCACCUCCACCGAUCCACGACUCCACGACCACGACUCCACGACUCCACGACUCAACGGUGCUUCUAGCCUUCUUCGUCUUCUCAAAGGUGAGUUUGUUGUUAACCUUUGAAUUAGUUUUUUGCUUUGUGCUUUUCGAUUUUUAUUUUUAUUCGAAUCAGUUCCCUCAUUCUCUUUCAAUUACAGAGGAAUAGGAAGGUCUAACAGACUAACACAAACAGUAGAUGUAUAAUUUCAUUUGAUGUAUAAUUUCUUUUGGUUGGAUUAUUUUUCAUUUGAUGUAUAAUUUCAGAUAUUUGUUGAAAGCCCAGAUGCUAAAACUUCAAUUUCGAUUUUUUUAUUAUUGUUAUUUUUUGGUUUUGGAUUUAUAGGUACUUUCAAUUCUGGGAUUAUUUUACUUUCUGAAUCACUGAAUUGAUUUUAGCUCCUAAAAAGCAUAUAUUUUUAAGAACCGGGAUAGUGCUUGAUUUUGACUUUGAUCCUUUACUUGAAGAUUCAUUUUAGAUCUUUAUUUAGUUGGAAUACUGCUGAGAGAUUGAGUUACUUAAAUCUCCCUUGCAAACCCUUUUUUCUCUUCUAUUUGACGCAUAAGUUUUGCUUUAUUUGGAUGUGAAAUCUAUUUGAAGAUCUAACUAAAACUCAUGUUUUUGAGUAUUUUUUUGUUUUUUUGUUUGUUUUGUCACAGAACUUUUUUCACUACUGGGAAAGAAUACUUGGGCAAUGAUUUCAAUUCCAUGUCAACUUUAUUUUUUCACUACUGGGAAAGAAUACUCGGAAACACCUUCACAGUUCACACCCUAGCAUUUAACUCUAAUGAUUUGCCUCCUUAUCGUGAUAUUACCCCUUAACAACAGUAUACGUGCAUUCAUUCACUGGAGCCUUGAUCAUCAAUUUGUUUCUGUACUUUUCAAUGCUUGAUUAAUUAAUUCUGCACUUUUCAAUGCUUGAUUUUGUUGUGAUUAUUAUGAUUAACAACAAACAUAUGGCUAAAACUUUGUACUAACAUUUAAACAGUGGCAUUCAAAUUUUUUUAGAUUUAUUCUGAUUGGUUAUCAUAUUCUUUCUUGAUAUGCUAUGCUAGAUUUGGACAUUCAUUUGAUACAUUCUAGUUGAUCUCAUUUUCAUCUAGUAACUUUGAUCUUUGGAUUAAAACUUUUAAAAAAGAAAAAAAGUUGAGCUUUACCAUUUUAAGUAUAGAGUACAGAUUACAGAAUAAGAACUGAGACUGACUCCAUAUUUUAAAAUUUAUGUAAUAAGUAAUUUUUGACUACUUUUGUCUUAUUAAAUUGAGUAUGGAACUAUGGAUCAAAGAUCCAUGAGAGUAAUAGUAUGGAUCAAUUUUGAUAUUGUUCUCCUUUAAAAACAUAAAAAUGUAAUGAAAUGAUAAACUUUAAAAUGUUAUAUACAAAAAAAAAUGCAAUUUGAUAUUUGAUAUAAAUUCAAUAACAACCUUUUAAGUCAAAAAAAAAAAUGGGCCGGGCCUGGCCCAGGCUUCAUAUGUUUUUCACGGGCCGGGCCUGGGCAAAAUCUCAGGCCCGUAUUUCGGGCCGGGCCUGGGGGACUAAGAAAUGGGCUGAAAUUUUUAUGGGCCUGGCCCAAAAUUGGCCCGGCUCAUGAGCACCUCUAGCCUAGAGUGGAGGCUGUUGUGUUGACGUGGUGGCGCACGUGGCUGCUGUGCGAGGGAGGAGCAGCGCGUGAACAGCUUGCUGGGGCAUGCGGCGGCUGAGUCAUUAGCUGGCUAAGGUUUUCUAAUUUUUUAAUUUUGUUUUGGGCUGAUUCAGGGAUUGGGUUUAGUAUUUUGGAUUGGGCCUUUAGAUUUUAUUUUUUUGGUUUUGUAAUCUCGACUGUUUAAUUGGACAUUUUAUUGUUUAUUGGUUUUGUUUAUUUAUACACGGGGCCCGGGCAAAUAUUGAGCUAUUAAAGGUACAUAAUAACGAAUAAAUGGCAUUCAAUUUAAACAUUUACAAUGAUUAAUCUUCAAUCGAAAAAUCACUAUCUUCAAUUCAAAAAUCACUAUCUUCAAUUGUCCGCCUAUAUAUAUCACUACCAAUUGGCCAUGCAGUUUCUUGAGCUGUAACAGAAUCUUCCACUAUAAUUUCAUCAACUGAUUGGCUUGCCUGCAAAGCAAAUUAAACCUUCACUCGUUACUGUUUGCUUUUGAUGAUUGAUGAUGAAGAAAGCAAAGCUUGUUUUCCAAAAUUGGACAAAGGAUGACAUAUUAAGAACAAGAACUGUGAAUUGAAAAUAAUAAUGCAACAAGGAUAUUUAGAAAGAAUAUUGACAGCGGCAGAAACCAUAUGCAGUUGAUGCAAUUUCAUUUAGUCAUUUAAAGCAUUAAAAAAAAGAAUUUAUCUCAGACAACCAAAAUAAAAAUAGGGAGAAUACAUAAAGAAAAUAAUUGAAUGGAUGAAUUUCUGUUUUAAAGCUUAUUGUUGAGUUUGGAAGAGUGGUGUACCUGUGUUUUGGCAUGCACUGAUUUCUCUGAAUCAACACUAAAUCUUGUGGUUAUGUUGGGACAACCUUUUACUCGUAAAUCCGUCAAAGAUGGGAAAAUAAAAUGAUAACCUACAGGGCUGAAGCUCACGAGGUUUGGUAGCUCAAUAAGCUCUAAGGAGCAAAGCUGAGGUAGGCGUAUCACUUUCUCUUCUUCCUUAUUCAGAUUUGACUCAUCUCCUUCAAACACCUGCUCUAAUUUGGAGACCCAUUCAAGGCAUAAUCUCAAUAGGUUUGGAAGGCCGCCAUGAGCAAGAGUAAUGGGGAAGAGACAUUUCAAGUUUUCACAAUUCCUUAUUGAAAUAUAACUCAAAUUAGGGAAGCAAAUGGGUUGGAGAUGAUGUUGUGAUGAAGUUUGAUCCUUCUCAAUCAUUUGCUCCAAUUCCUCACAGUUAGAUAUAACCAAAGUCCACAAUUGUGGCAAAUUUCGAGCGAUGGUAGGUGAGAAGAUGUAUCUUAACCUUCUGCAAUCUUGGACUGUCAAUUGAGCGAGAUUUUGAAAGUGUUCAACUUGGAUGGGACCACUCCAAAUCACCCGCAAUUCAGUCAGUUUGUACAACCGUAGGAAGUAUAGAGUUGAAAGAUUAUAUCCAGAAUAUUCAAAUAACUCUUCAAAAUUAGAAAUUGUUAAAUAUUCCGUACAUGUUGAUGUUUCUCCUCUUCUUUCAGGGACUGUCACGUUGCUUAUUUGCUUCUUUUCUGUCAUCUCCGAUAACUCCAAUUUCUAUAAACAUAUCAUCAAUUUAAGAAUAAGCACAAGAUUUCCUUUUCAAUCUUUUAUAGUCAAAGAAUUCAAAUUUUUAAAAAGUUUACUGCUCAACUCAUAUAAUCAUAAAUUACCCAAAAAAAAAAUCUCCAAAAAUAUGGUGCAAAGACACAACAGAAAUAAUAUUACGUAGUACUAGAUAGUGUUUGCAAUAUAUAUAUAAGAAACUAAAAUGUCUUAACAAUUAUAAAAGUAUUCAGUUGAAAUGUUAUUUAUGUUACUAAUUGGUAUUGUAAUUAACUAAACUACUUAAAGGUUUAUUUAGAUUAGUUUUUAGACUAAAAUGAAAACUAUUUUUUAAAGAUUUAUACAUGCAUUUACUUAUUUUAGACCACAAAAAACAAAAAAAUCAAAAGGUGAAAAUUUUAAUAAAUAAUAUAUAUAAGAAGGUCUUACUUGUAUAUUAGUUGGAACGAUAAAAGGUGUCAAUUGAGGACAAUCUCUCACUUUUAACACGCGUAAAGAUGGCGAUGUUAGCACGAUGUUGUUUCUAUCCCUUCCUUUCAAUUGAGGCAAAUUAAUCAACUCAACUUCAUUCAAUCUUGCAAGACCUUGAGACAUUGAGAUUAACACUUCUGGUCCUUGGAUUAUUUCUUGCAAUUGGAAACAGUUCUUUAUCCUCAGAGUUUGCAAUUGCCCAAGACUAUUAGCAACACACAUUGGCAAGAGAAAUUUCAACUUAUUACAUUCUGUGACUUGUACUUCCCUUAGGCAUUGGAAGCUUAUGGUUGAUGAUACUUGUGAGUCUUGAAUUAUUUCUUUCAUUCCAAAGCAUCUCUCUAUCUUUAGGGUUUGCAAUUUCCCAAGACUAUUAGCAAUACACAUUGGGAAGAGAAAUUUCAAAUCAUUACUUUCUGUGACUUGUAUUUCCCUCAGGCAUUGAAAGCUUAUGGUUGAUACUCGUGAGUCUUGGAUUAUUUCUUCCAUUACAAAGCACCUCUCUAUCUUCAGAGUUUGCAAAUUGGGCACAUUUAGUUUUUUAGAGCUACCUUUAUCAACAAUAAUUGGAAAGAGAGAUUUCAAGCUUUCACAUUCCAAGAUAUCAAUUAGAAUCAGAUUUGGAAAGCAAAUAGGUAAGGUAUGCUGUUGUGAUGACGUUUGAUCUUGCUCCAAUUCCUCAUAUUUACAUAAAUGCAAAUUGCUCAAUUGUUCAUUUGUCAUCUUCCCAAACACCAAUUCCUAUAAACAUAUCAUCAAUUCUCAAUUUCAAACUGUUCAAAGAUGUCAACAAUUAACUUAACAUUUCAUCAAUUAAUUUCCUUACAAAAAAUUUAUUUUACCUUAAAUCAAUAUUAUACUCCAAAACUGUGGUACAAAAACAGUCAUAAAUAAUAUCACAUAAUCUGUACAUAUAAAUUAUUGGGAAUUACUUAAACUCAUUUUCAUUUAUUAACACAAAAAUAAAAAACCAACUGCGUAAAAGGCUACAUUUAAAAAAAAUUAAAUAUAUAUUUUUUUAGUUUAUUUUUAAUACAAAUUCUAAAAUCAUCCAAUAAUUCCUUCUCACAUUAAAAAAAAAAAGAUAAAAGUGAUUCAGGGCACUUGAACCAACAUUCUCUUAUUUAGACAACAAUAUCGAUACCAACCAAACUAAAACUUAUAUAUAAUUUUAUAUAGCUUAUUUUUGUUUACCCACAUAAUAGGUAUAAUAUAAUUUAGUAUUAGAUAAAUAGUUUGCAACAUAUCUAAAACAUAAAGUUUGGAUUUUUUUUUUGAAUCUUUUAUUAAUCUUAUUAUAUGGUAUUAUAAUCAACUAAUUUGUUUAAAAGGUUAUUUAGAUUAGUUUUAGACCAAAAUUAUAAAAUAAACAACAAUUCAAACAACGAACUAUAAAGAAAAAAAAAGAAACAAAUAAAUAAAUAAUAUAAAACAAAAAGAAAAAUCUUACUUGUAUCGUAGUCGAAAUAAAAAAAUGUGUCAAUUGAGGACAGUUGUGCACUUUUAACUUUUGCAAAGACGAUUGUGUGAGCAUAAUGUCGUUCACAUCCCUUCCUUUCAAUUGAGGCAAAUCAAUCAACGAAACCUAAAAUGAAAAGCAUAAUCAAAUUUCUCAAUCUUUGACCAUAGGACAAUAAGGAAAAGAAAUGUCAAGUUAUUGCAAUGAGAUACACAUACUUCCCUUAGACUUUGGAGUAGACAUACGUAUGCCACUUGUGGAUCUUGGAUUAUGUCUUCCAAUUGCAAGCAACUCUUUAUCUUCAAAGUAUGCAAUUGGCCAAGGCUAUUAGCAACUGACAUUGGGAAGAUAUAUUUCAAAUUAUUGCAUCCCUCUAUUUCAACAAUCUUCAGACUUUGGAGGCUUAAAUGACGACCGGGCCCUUCUUGUUCUAUGCUCCUUAAUUCAGCAAUCGGGAAUAACACUUUCAUACUAUGGCAACUUUCAACUUUAAACUCUUCAAGCUUUUGUAAAAACCCUUGCGGUUGGGGACCAUUGCACAACUCUUCCAAAAAGGAUAAAUCAUUUAAUGAUAACUUUCUCAAAUUAGAGAGUGUAGUGAUUGGCACUUGCUGCUUUGAUGCAUCAAUUAGGCAUUGCAUAGAGUCGCAACAACGAAGAUCUAGAGAAGUCAACUUACUAAAUCCCAAGUCCAAGCUUGGAACAAGGUUUCGGUGACCCUCCACAUGAUUCAAUUGAAGAGAUUCUACAUCUUCAAAUAGUUGCUUGCAUGCAUCUACAGAGUUAUCGAUUCUCAAAGAUCUUGAGAUUGGAUAAGUUUCCCUCUUUUGAAACCACAUAUCCCUCUUUUGGUACCACAUUUUUCUUUCUAUGCCAAUGCAAAAAUCAAAGCUCCAUAAUCUUCGAAACACAAAGCCAUCUGGAAGAUGUUCAGAAGAAAUAUCCAAUGAUAUUACAACCAACUUUGGCAAUGAAUUCAACUCUGAUAGGCUGGAAUAGCUUUCCCUUUUAGUUGAAUUAUCAGUCGCCCAUUUUAAUGAACUACAACCAUGCAAGUAUAGUUCUUCUAAAUUGGGCAAUCUUCGUAUUAAAUUAGGAGGGAUACUUCGUAGUUUAUAGCAAUACGAUAAAACCAACAGUCUUAGAUUUUCUAGAUCACCAGCUUCAGUCGGCAAUUCAAUGAUAUCAGAUCCACUUAAAGAGAGAAUAUGAAGUGACUUCAGCUUCCCAAGCAUCGAGAUGUCAGAGAGUUGACAAUCAAUCAAACACAAAGUUCGAAGGUUCAUAUGAAACUUAAAUGCAGCUAGAGAUAUCAAUUGAUCUUUCAAAGCACAAACUUGUAAUGCCUUCAUACCCUCAAAGAAUUCGCUUGAAGUUUCCAUUAAACGAUUGCCACCAAGUAAAAGAAGUUUGAGGUAUGGAAAAACCACUCCUUUAGGAAGUUCAUCCGUUUGACCAGUUUCAAAGGAGAUUGCCCUGUAAUGCUUGGAACUUUCAUCCAUCGGGAGUGUUUCAACAGUCCCAAAAGAAAUCUCCUUUCUUGAAGAUGCUAUCCACAAAGCAAAUUGGCGAACCACGUCAUGCAUUUUGACAUGCCUUUCUCCGCAAUCUAGCAACAAACCGGAGUUCUUGAGGGUCUCAAUUGAUGCAAGCACUUCACUGCUAACAUCUUUAAUUGAGUCCAUGCCUUUAUACAACUCCAGUCCCCAUGCAUAUCCUACCAAGUUCUCCACAUAAAUCUCAUCAUCUUCAGGAAAUAAAGAGCACAACAAGAAACAUGUCUUGGUCUCCAUAGUCUUCAAGUAGUCGAAGCUCGCCUCAAGACAUACAUAGGCAUUUUCUUCAUUAACAUCCUCAAUUUCAGUCAACCUACGAUCUUUGAGUCUCCGGUAUGCAGCUUGCCACUCGUGAUGGGUUUUACCUUUCAAGGCACUUCCCAGAGGAACUAUAGCUAUAGGCAAACCCUUGCAUUUUUUGACAAUUUGAUUUGCUAGGAUUUUAAUAGAAUCAUCAGAAAAGUCAUCUAGACCUGCUUUCUUUUCAAACAGAGUCCAAGCUUCAUCAUCAUCCAAACAGUCAAGUUGUACCACGUUUUGACAAUCCAUAGCUCGACAUACUUGUUGACGGCGUGUUGUUAAAAGAACUUUGCAGCCUUUAUGAUCAUCCCCAAUUGGAAUUCCUAUCUUCUCCUUUAAGUUGAUAGAUUCCCAAAUAUCAUCAAGGAUGAUAAGAAUCCUCGGUUCAUUCUUCAGCCUUAACCAUAAUUCUUGCUCGGAUCUUCUUCCUUGUUCAUUCUUCAUAGCAAAGCCUAUGUAUUGUGCAAUUUGAUCUUGAAUUCUCUCAAGAUUUGGCUUUUGAGACACAGUCGUAAUCACAACUUUGUCAAACAAGUUCAGUUUUUGAGCUUGACUUCCAACUUCACGAGCCAGGGUGGUCUUGCCCACCCCUCCCAUCCCCCACAACCCAAUCAUGUUGAUAUUCUCAUCUUUUAAGGCUUCAAUGAUUUGAUAGAAUGCAGUCUCUGAAGAUUUCGAAAACACAAAUUCUUUAGAACAUAGGAAAUCUAUAGUGGGAAGGGCAGUAGGAGCAGGGUAACCGACUGGUCCAAGUUGACCAAAUUUGUCCAAAAGCUCAGAGAUAUCCUGGAUUUUCUUCAUUGCUUUCUUGCUUAAUUGAUAUCGCCAACUCCAAUUAGGACACCAAUUGAGACACCUCUUAUUCAGUUGGAUUUCCUCCUCCAGAGUUCCCAUAUCAGACAGUGUUUCGUCUGCCCUUGAUUGCAAGUUCUGUACAUCAUCUUCAAUUAGUAGAAGCCGGUUUUUAGCUUCCUCAAUCUUAAGUAGUAGACGCUUUCGUGCAUCUGCAAGUUCACGCUUUUUCUCUCGGAGCUUUUCAACAUUGUCAUGAAAGCGACGGACAUAAUCAAGUUGACGUCCUACCGGCUUCACCACACAGUCUACAACCAGUGUUCCAACUGUGUUAGAAAGAGCAGCCUCACAAAAUCCGCAACCCAUGCUUGACAAGCUCAAAUUGAAGAAUAUGAUGUUCCAAGUUCAAACACUGCAGUGAAUCAUAAGUAAUUAUCUUAAAAAAAUAAAAUUUAAAGAAUCAAAAAGUGUUUUGAAGAUUAAGACACUACUUCUCAUACAUACCAAGGAUGGUGAAAGACAACUCAACCUAUGAGAAUCAAUGUGCUGUUCUUUCAACUGAGUCCAGCUGAAAAUACAACGAGAAAUUUAAUAAACAAAUCACAUCAUAUACGAGUGUAAUGUCAUAUAAUUAUAACUAAAAAAGACAGUUAAUUACUCAUAAAAAUAAAAAUUCAAAAUCCAAACAGUCUUUUAUAAUAUUAUAGAUAUAAUGCUGGAAAAUAUAAUAAACAUAUCCACUUACCAUUUCAAAAUCCAAACAGUCUUUUAUCUCUUACUUGCUUCAAGAAAAACAUAAAAAGAUGAGAUGAGAUCAAAGAAAUAUAGAACAACUUCAAUUUAUAUAAAAAAAAAAACAGAAAUGAAGCAUAUAUAAAUAGAUUUACCUCACUUGGGAACUUUUAAAAUCAAACUACACUUAGUGCUCAGAAGGUUCUUACUUCAAAACAAUCAAAAGGGCGAGGGAUUUCAAGGUUGUUUUUUUUUUUUAGCAAAAGUAAGUAAAAUUGAAUACAGAAAGAAAGGAACUUGAAGAAAGGGGGGGGGGGGAAAGAAUAUAAAAAGAUCAGAUGAGAUCAAAAAAAUAUAUAACAAAUUUAAUUUAUAUAUAACACUUAGUGUUGAGAAGAUUCUUACUACUUCAAUACAAUCAAAAGGGAUUUGAAGGUUGGGUUUUUUUUUUUUUUUUUGAGCAAAGGUAAGUAAAACUGAAUACAAAAAGAAAGGAACUUGAAGGAAGGGAAAUAAAAAGAAAAAACAACAAAGUAGAAAUCAAGGUUGAACUGAAAAAAGGAGAAACUUUCAGAAAGAAAUUGAAGUUGAUCUGCCUCGAAAAGUCAACAACUCGGAAAGCAUAAACUCUAACACAACUAGGUUUUGUUGGUUUAGUAGCCAAAGGAUUGGAUCUAAAUUAUGAGGAUUUGUUUUUCUCAAUUGUAUUUUAGUGGAUUGAAAAGGAAAGAGGAAUCUUCCUUUGCAACAAGUUGGUACUGAUUGGUUUGCCAAUGACGCCCACAUGACAUGAAAUGGUAGAGGACGACUUGGAAGAAAGUGAAAGUCUUUGUGUUAAUUAUUUAUAUGAUUUUCAAUACAUUUAAAAUAUCUACCUUUCUUCAGUUUCUUUUUCUUAAUUUCCAUUUGUUAUUAGAAAUGAAAAUGGUUUUUCUUUAUUCAUUUUUAUACUUAAUAUUUUGUAUAUUUUUUACCUAAAUAAGAAGAAUCUCAAAUUUUGAAGAUGUAUAUUCAUAAUCUAUUCGCUCCUCCAUCACCCUUGAUCGAACCCUACUUGAGAGAUGUUAAUUUUUGCAUAUGGCCUUUGUAGGUAAAGGGUGUAAGUUGGACUCGACACUCGUAAACGCGUUAGUGGAAAAAUGGAGACUUGAGACGCACACAUUUCAUCUUCUGUGAGGCAUGUGUACAAUCACUUUAGAGGAAGUGCAACUAUAGCGUAGGUUAUCGGUGGAUGGACUGAAAGUGACUAGGUCAGUUCAAGCAGUCGAUUAGGGAGACGUAUGCAAUGAACUUUUAAGGAGGGUUCUAAAAAUCAUUUUUGGAGCCUAGAUAGAUAUGAGUUGGUUAAGAAGAAAUUUUGGUGGGCUUAAUGAAGAUUCAGCUGAAGUCUAAAAGAACAACACGCUUGGGUUGUAACACCCUAAAACUUGGCCUAGAAGUUAUGACUAAAUAUUCAAGGAUUAAAUCAACUCGUUCAAAGCUUCAGUUCAAAUCAAACUCAAUGCAUGCUUUGAAAACAUAAAAUUUUGGCAAAACACCCAUAGAUGGUUAGAAAAGCCGAGUUCGAAAACACUUAUUUAAAACCCAUAAUUCACAUUCAAAAUUGCGCGUUUUAAAACUACUAAUGUGAGCAAAUCAUUUCCAGUAUUAAAACAACCAUUUGUUACAAACCAUAUAUUUUAUUUUCAAAAAAUACUUAAAUGAUUACUUAACCUUGUAGCAAAAAUUUUUCAAAGUUUGUUUUAGUUUGAAAACUGAAAUCUAACUUGUCAGCUCGUGUGAUUUGUAGUUUAAUGCUCAAAAAUAUUAAAUGCCGACGAAUAAAACAAAAACCAAAACUAGGACCAAAAACACAUUACAGUCCAAGAAUAAUUAAAUUGUAAACCCAAAAAUAUUUUAUCUGGUAACCAAUCUGAGCUCCUGUAAGUUGUCCGGUCCUAAGUCAGAAGUUAACCUAAAAUGUAUUGAACAAACAAAUAAGCUAGGAGCCUAGUGUGUGUCUCAACCCACAAGCAUAAUUUUUAUUUAACUAGCACAUACGUAAAUGUGAUCACAAAAUUUUACUUUAAUGUAUCAAUAACAUAUCAGAAUGUUGUAUUACCAGAAACAUAUAUAUUUUAGAUCAUAAUAUCAUAUAACCGGAACAUAUUUUGGUUUGGAAUAUCAUAAUUUCAUAGAAAAAUAUAUCAUACUAGAAUGUCAUGUUUUCAGAAGUGCAUAUGUCAUACCAGACUAGAACAAAUGCAUACACAAAUCCUACCUUCAUCUGCUACACACCAACUCUGUCCAACGAAUGACACCAAUUAGGACUUCAAGAGUCCAUCCAUCCAAAUCACACCGGAUCGUGGUGGUAUGCCACUAUAAUAGAGCAACUCAGUUGCCAAACAUAUAGAGUGGUUUAACCGCUGAAAAUGCAAUAAUGCUAUUAAAAAACACUUCCUCCAACAAAACAGAACCACCCCAAUGCAUAUGCUAAAUCACGUUGACAUACAUACCACAUAGUUUUUAUGCACGUACAUAAACAGAUAUCAUACGGAAUGUAAUGUAACACCCCUAACCCGUAUCCAUCGCCAGAAUAGGGUUAUAGAGCACUACCAGAGUUUACUAAUUAAUUUUUGAACUUUUAAUUUCAUCAAGCAUUCAUAUUUAUAACCAAUUAAAAUCAAAACAUUAAUAAGCUAACGUUAACCAAUUUAACUUGUACAUGCCAUUAUAACCAAAAUCAAAUCAUCCAAAAAUUAUCGAUAGAACCAAUGGAUAAUGUGAUAUAUCUCCAACAAGCUUCCAACUCAAUCGAGCUUCCGAUAAUCAUUUCAAUGCAUCAAAUAAUUAUACAUAUUACCAAUAAUAAUUCAAUUCCAAUAAUGAAACACACAUAUAUAUAAUAUUCAUUACCAAAUAGAAUUCACUUCAAUUAAAAUUAUACAGAUAUAGUUCAUACGAACUUACCAGGCUAAAUUGCAGAAAUAACAAAAUUCAGAGACAUUUUAAAAAUUUUCUAUUUUUCUCAAAUUUCCACCCAAUCUUGAUCUAAAUUAAUAUUUCAUUCAAUUUAAUAAUUUAAAUAAUAAAACAAUUCAUUUCAUGCAAUUUGGUCACUUUUUGACAUUUUUACAAAUUUACCCUUAAAGUUUUACUUUUAUUCAAUUUAGUCCAUGAGCCUAAAACGUGCAAAUUAUCCAUGCUAGCUGAAUAUUCAUAUAUAUAUAUUCCUCCUCCUCUCCUUUCCACAUCCUUAAUUUAUAUAAUAUGCUUAUAAGUAACAUUAUCUAUGAAUUCACUAUUUACUUUAAAUAUAUUCAAAACUGUCCAUUUGAGUCAUAGCCACUAAAUUAAUUUUAUAUUGAGCUACAAAACUCUAAAUUAGGAUCAGCUAAUUUUCCCUGAAACUAGAUUCACAUAUCUUCUUACCAUAAAAUUUUCAGAAUUUUUGGUUUAGCCAAUAAGUACAGUUUAUUCUUUAAAGUCACCUCUGUUCUGCUGUCUGACAGUUCUGACCCUUCUUCACUAAAACUUAAUUAUCUCCUUGUACAGAAUUUGGAUGAUAUCUCUGUUUGUUUCUAUUUAAAAUAAAUUCUUUAAGGCUUUUAAACAUAUAAAUUCUAACCCAUAAUUAUUUGUGUACAUUUUUUUAUGAUUUUCCAAAUCCAGAACAAGGGAACCCGAAAUCAUUCUGACAUUGUCUCACAAAAUCUAUUAUAUCUCAUGAUUUACAAUUUCAUUACUUACACCAUUUCUUCUAUAAAAAACUAGACUCAUUAAGCUUUAAUUACAUAUUUUUUUCAUCCUUUUAUUUCAUUUUCACAAUUUAUGAUGAUUUUUCAAAUUUAACCUACUGCUGCUAUCCAAAUCUGUUUUAGUUCAAGAUGUUGAUUACUAAGUUUAUAACUUCCUUAUUCCCUUUCUCUAUAAUAUUUCUCAUCACUUUCACUUAUUUCUCUUCACUAAUAUAUCAAGAACAUAAGAAUUUAUAUAAGAAAACUCCACUAUAACAUCUUUUCCAUGCUAUUUCAAUAAUAUCAAACUUAAAAAUAUAUUGAAAUCUCAAUGUUCUUACCUUGCCCUAUUGAUUUCAACCUUUAACUUGAUUUUCUCUCUCCUCCAACUUUAAUUUCUUGAAUCCAACUUGAUAUUCUAGCUCCCCAUAGUCUCCUUGCUAUCUUUCUCUCUUGAUGACUAUGGAGAUUCUUUUGAUUUCUAAGUGAAAAUGGUGAAUUUUUUUGGUGGAAGGACCAAAUUGUAAAGAAAGCAAAAAUUUCUUUCUUCUCUUCUCUUCUAACGUGAAUUGCAUGGAAAAGAUGGUGGCUGGGUUGCUUUUCAUCUUUCUUUCCACAUAUAUAUACUAAAUAAUAAAAUAAUAAAAUAUCAUUUAAAAAAUCAAAUUAAAAUAUUAAUAAACUAUUAUUUAUUUAUUUAUUUAAUCUAAAAUAUCUCCAACAUCAUCAUUAUCUUCUAGAUUUCUAUCUCUUCUAAAUGACCAUUUUGCCCUUUAUGAUCUUUUAAAAAUCCAUCCUUGAGUCAUUAUUUAAUUUGGGAAAAUUACGAUUUAGUCCCUCAUAAUUCUUCACCUAUUCGAUUUGGUCCUAAUUCAUCCAUUUUCCUUAGUUUUUAGAUUAUUCCACCCUUAAAAUAUUUGUACUAUUGGUCCUUCAACUUUUUUAUUUACACUUUAACCCCUCAAAUUUUGAGUAUUUACCCUUGGGCAACAAAACUUUUCUCACUUUUGCAAUUUAAUCAUUUCUUGAACUAAUAUGUCAUAAUAUACUUCUCAAUGUUGACAUAACUCAAAAUUAUCCUUUUUAUCACUUUAUUUCCUUAUUUUACUAUAUCAGGAAUAUUAUCUUACUUUUUUUUACUGUAGUAAUUUUCGAGGUAUUACAUGUAACUUACACAUAAUUUAUAUAGAUCAUAGCAUAUCAUAUUCAUGGUCGAAUCAGAUAACUUAUCAGAACGGAUAACAAAAUAUGUAUAACACACAUGAUUUACAAAAUAGUUAUGCUUAACUCACGUACCUACUUAUAGCAAAUAAUAUCACAUUAUUAUAUUUAUCAAAAUUUAUUUAACAUGCUUCCUACACUUACCCAUGUUUGUUUUCCUUAAAUUUAUGCUUUCUAGGCCUACAUAAUGCACCCAAACCCAAAUUCUGAGUCCUUUAGUCGACCCCUAAUUGGCCCAAAAGACCCACUCAACCCAAAAAGCUAGCCUGCGUGGUCCACAUAGUCUAUCCAUACGAUUUGCAUGAUCUUACACAGCAGUGUGGGAACAUAGCCUACAUGACAAGCCACAUGGGUUGUAAAAACACACAUCGUCGUGUGCCCCACACAGGCUACAAAAUCACACACGGUUGUGUUCCCCUCAUGGUCUACCACACGGUUAUGUGUCACUGGACAACUUUGUUUUGCAUAAUUUCUAAAUUUUUGAUGAGUUUUUCGAGUUAGAUCACACGUCAGAUUGCUGAUUUUGAUGUAGAUUCACGAAAGAACACACUAGAACCUAAAAUCAAUAUUCCAAACGUAUCAAAUUAGUAACAAAAUGCAACACUAAAUCAAGAUUGACUCACUAACAUAACACUAAAGACCUAGCACAAAGAAAACAACAACAAUAAUAUCUAAGUCGUCGAAGGAACGCCCAACACUUCUCGUUCUUCUCCUAAAAAUGCACCGAACUCAUUAAGCAUACAAAAUACACAUUAAUACCACACUACUAAAGCUCUGAAACCCUGAACGCCCAAUGAAGUAAUUUCAAUACAUGGCUGAAAAAAUGGAGGAUGAAGCAACCUUACCAUUAAUGACUAAAACUGAUAGCACAAAGGACAAAUGAUACACAAAUUAACAAAAGAAUAAAAAACAAGAAGAGAGAAAAAAAAACAUGAAAAACUGAAAAACCAACCAUAAAGAAAGAAACUAACGAGAAAGUGAAGAGGGAGGGAGAGAGUGAGAGGAUGGUAUCUCUGUGGCAGAAAGUUCUACGGUUUGGACAUAAGGGCAAGUUGGUAAUGAAGAAUGCUUAAGAAAUGAGAUUCAAUUGAAUUUAACAAUGAAGAAUGCUUUUAAUGUGCCUAACAUUAGACCAAGACAAAUAAUUAUAAGUUUUGUCAAAAUCUUAGUUUUCUUUUUUAAUCUUUGAUUAAUGAGCUGAAUUCACAUACUUUGUUUUUUUUCUUAUAGCUUAAUAAAUCUUUCUUCGCUCAUAAGAACAAAAAAAGUAAGUGGUACAUAAUAACGAAUAAAUGGCAUGUAGUUUUCCAAAUUAACUCCUUAAAUAGAAAUAACUUCAUUUACUGUUCCAUUCAUUUUAAAAUUCCUCUUUGACCCACCAUUUUAUAUCACUACCAAUUGACCAUGCAAUUUCUUGAGUUGUAGCAGAUUCUUCCACUAUAACCGAUUUUGUUGCUUGUUGUCUGACGUGCCAGCAAGUUAAGAUUCCCUUUGUACUGAUGGGCUUCGUUAGUGGGUUGCCUUCAACACCUACUAAAAACGAUUCUGUAUGGGUCAUCGUGGAUCGGUUGACCAAGUCUGCCCAUUUUAUUCUAGUUUGGACAGAUUAUUCUUUGCAGAAGUUAGCUAAGCUCUAUAUUUCUAAGAUUGUGAGACUUCAUGGAGUUCUGAUUUUGAUAAUUUCAGAUAGAGAUCCUCAAUUCACGUCUCGAUUUUGAAAAAAAACUUUAUGAGGCUUUGGGAUCGAGAUUGAACUUCAGUACUGCAUUCUAUCCUUAGGCCGAUGAUCAACCUGAGAGGGUGAUUCAGAUACUGGAGGGUAUGCUUUGAAGUUGUGUAAUUGAUUUUCGAGGUAGUUGAGAGGAUUUCCUACCUUUGCCUGAGUUCGCCUAUAACAAUAGUUUUCAGUCUAGUUGUAACACCCUCUAACCCUAAACAGUCGUCGAAACAAGAUUACAAGGCAUUACUGGACCUAUCAGACGAUCUACAAAUAAUUCCUAAAUAAAUAUAAAAUAUAUUAUAAUAUAAUCAUAAAUUCAUAUAAAGUUUUACUAAUUGACUUCAUUCAUUUUUCAUUUUUAAAAAAAAUUCAAUAUAACCCAUUUAUAAAUAUUUAACCUUCCUUGCUAAUUUCAAAUCCCAACCAAACCAAUUCCAGUAUUUCAACCAAUGCAUUUAUAUACUCAAAUAUACUUAAAUAAUACUUGAGAUAUUUGACUUAACAACUUAAUUAAUGAAAACCCUAUUAUCGUUUCUAAUUAGCUCAUAAAACUAUUCAAACCAUUUCAAUUCAAUACUAAUGUCAUAAACAAUUUCUACCAUCUCACUAAUUUAAUCAUCAAAACACCAAAUAUCUUUCUUUACAACAAAAUCAUAUAACAUACCAAAAUAACCAUUAUAAUCCCUAUGUACAUGUCACUUUCAUUUAAAGGAAGAAAACAUCACUAAAAUCUUUAUGCUGGAGUCGGGAUCAUUUGGAUGCUGGACUGGGGCACUAUACUCCUAUCAACCUGCAGACAUAAACAACCGUAUGCUGAGUAUUCCAUACUCAGUGGUAUUAUAAUAAUAAUAAUAAUAAUAAUAAUAAUAAUAAUAAUAAUAAUAAAAUAUAAUUAUCAAGCAUUUAACUAUCUAAUUUUUCAAAUAUCAAUUCAUUCUUAAACUUUCAUUAAUUACCAAUAACAGUACAAUUUUUAGCUAUUCUUCAAUUUCAACCACAUUUCACAUAUAAUAUUUUCAAUCACUACAUGAACAUUAAGUUCAUGCCUUUCAUUUUCAAUCUCAGUUUCAAUCCAUAAUUUUAAAUUUUCUCAUAUUCAAUACUACAAUUGAUCAAAUUCAUUUGAUUUUCUCAUUUUAAUUUUUCACCCUAUUAACAAUCCGGACUUUGACGGAUACAAGGAUUCCAACCCAAACACACCAGUAUGGCACAUUGGGCCUAAAACGAUACAUAGUAUCUGAUCAGUAUACAACACAUAAGCAAAUAAAAUGACACACGAGGUGCUUAAAAUGCGACACAUAAAGUGUCUGAUAUACUACAUAUAAAGUGUCUGAUCGGCAAAGUCGAUAAAUCCCGUACUCUUCCAAAUCCUAUGGCAUGCCAACUAUAUCCAACUUAGCCCAACUAGUUCAUAGGGUAUUCCGUAUUACUUUCGAAUUUCAAUUUCAUUCUCAAUUUAAUUACAACUCAAUUCAAUAUACUUUUCCAUUUCAAUCCACAUACAAUUCAAUUUCAAUUCAUAUUCAUUGUUCAACUCAAUUUUCAUUUAAUUCAACAAAAACACUUACCUUAUAAUUUACUUACCAUAUACAUAAAUUAAUUUAACAUUUAAUGAAUAAAUAAAUAAUUUGAAUUAUAGUAAUACAAACCUGAAUUUCGUAGUUACUCCUCGAUGACUUUUUCCUUUCCUUUCGGUACUGAUGCCCCGUGUUCUUUACUAGCUUUUAAAGCUUUAAAACCUUAAACCCUAGUUUUUCCUUUUCUUUUCUUUUUCUCCUUUCCCUUGCUCUGUUUCGAAAUGGUUCUGCUAUUCUUUUUUUCCUUUUCAUUUCUUUCAUUUCUUUUAUAUAUAUAUACUAAUUAAUAAUAAUAAAUAUCUAAUUUUUAACUAAUACAUAUAUUACAAAUGUAUACAUAUAUUCUUUUACACUUGUACUUGAUCUAUACCCUACACUUGUCACAAAUUAAUUUAUUAAUCACAUAAAAAUAUUAUAAUUUAAUUAUUUAUCUAAUAAAUAUCUUUUAAAUAAUAAAUAUCUACUUAAUAUACAAAUAUAAAUAUUACAACAGUAUAUAUUUAUCUUUUUAUACAUGUACUAUUUAAUCAUCAUACAUUUGGGAUAAAUAUAAUAUAAAUAUAAUAUAUAUUUAUCUUUUUACUUAAAUUUUAAGUAAAUAAAUAAUUUAAUACAAGUGUAUAUAUAUUCACAUAUUACACACGUACCACUUAUCACCCUACAUUUGUCAUGUCUUAAUUUAUUUAUUUCAUAAUAUAAUAAUUAAUAUAAUUUAUAAUUUAAUAUAAAACAUUAAUAAUAGUUAAUAUUAAGAUUUUUAAAAAAAUCAUAUAAAAAUCUUAGAUUUUAACGGCUUAUGCCACCACCUCACUUAUGUUAAUUGGCAUAAUUGCCAUUUUGACCUCUUUCUAUUUUUUAAUCUAAUAUUAAACUUUUACCCUUUAUUCAAUUUAAUCCUUUUUCGCAAUUACUCUUAAUUAAGCUAAAUUCACCUAAUUAAAAUUUAAUUAGACACACUACUAGACUCAUAAAUAUUUUUAAUAAUUAUUUUUGAACUCGAUUUACUAAGAUGGAUGCCCAAUAGUACACUUUUUCGAUGCCCGUGAAUUUUGGGUCAUUACACUAGCAUCCAGAUGGCACCUUACAAAGCUCUGUAUAGUUGUAAGUGUCGUACCCCACUAUGUUGGACUGAGUUGGGGGAGCGACGGGUUUUGGGUCCUGAGUUGGUUUCCAAGAUUGAGGGCAAGGUCAAAUUAAUUCAGGAUCGUCUUAAGGCAGCUUUUGAUAGACAGAAGUCAUAUGCAGAUUUGAAAAGGAGGGAUAUCGAUUACUCUGGGGGUGACUCUAUUUUCCGUAAGAUAUCUUUGUGGAAGAAAGUUCUGGGUUUGGACGUAAGGGCAAGUUGAGCACUAAGUUCAUUGGGCCAUAUCAGAUUCUAAAGCGUGUGAGACCGGUCGCUUAUCAGUUAGAGUUACCUCCAAAGUUAGACCGCAUUCAUAACGUAUUUCACGUCUCUAUGUUAAGGAGGUAUCGAUUUGACCCAUCUCAUGUUGUUUCUGUUGAGGAGAUCGAAGUUAGACCGAAUUUGACAUUUAAGGAUGAACCGAUUUAAAUUUUAGAUCGCCAUGUAAAUGCUUUGAGAAGGAAGUCUAUUCCAUUAGUUAAGGUUCUGUGGCAGAAUCAUGGCAUUAAGGAAGCCACGUGGGAACUUGAGGACUUGAUGCUUCAGUAAUAUCCUCAUUUGUUCGGAUCAGGUAAAUUUCGAGGCUAAAAUUUCUUUUAAGGGGUAGAGUUCUAAUGCCCUGACUAAUUUUACUUUAUUUAUGUGAAUUUUAUCAUAAAUGUGUAUCUAAUUCAGUGGCUAAGUGUUUUGGGUGUGUGUUUGAGGUCUUGGGUUUAAGCCCCACUUUUGGGAAAAUAAGUUAUUUUUUAUCCUAGCCUAUUCAUUGGCGAUUGGGUUUACGUCUUAUCUUCAGUAAACUCAUAUCAGAAUGAGCUUGUUGGUUCGAGUGGUAAGGAGUUAGCUUGCCUUGAGGUCUUGUGUUUGAGUUCUUGUGAGAAUUGGAGUGAUAAUUUUUGCUUCGGUUGUCAGAUAGAGAUUCGAUGAAAUUGAAACUUUAAGGUAGUUGGAUGUGGUUAGUUGGUAGGAUUCUAAGGGAUAAGGUAAUUAGUGGGGGAGUUAAGAUUUUAUGUUACCUUUGAUUUAGUUGUUAUUUAAUUUUAAUUUUUAAAUUUUAUUUUUGAUUUUCCUAAAACUCCUCCUCCUUCUCUCAUUUUUUUUCCUUUCCUUUCUUCUCUCUAUUUUUUUCUCUUUCAUUGAAAAAAAAUUCCUCCCUUUCCACUCUACAGUCUUUCGUUCCAACUAAACCAUGUGCCAUUGUUAUUUGACCGGUAUUGUAGUUUGUUUAUCACUCUCUUUUGUCUCAAAUUCUGAUUGUAAUUCUAUUUAGCAAGUUUGGGUAGGUGUAGUUAUUACUUUUGGUUGGUGUUUCUUUAUUGCUAGUGUUUUUGUUAAUGCCAUGUAGGGGAAGACCAAGGGGUUCGGGAUUGUCCGUCGGUGACUUAGUUGUACGUAACUACCAUCAUUCGAUUAAAGGUAAGGGUUUAGUUGAAUAAUGGGUUGAAUGGAUCGUUUUGGUUUCAAUUUUAGUAUCAAUUUAAUCGACUAAUUCAGUGAUUUAUUGGUUAAUUGUAGGUUCUGGUUAUCUCAUGGGAGCGUUCACAUCAAAUCCGAAUUAGAUGUGUAAUAAAAACACGAGAAAACGAGGUUCGACGAAAGUUAAAAAGCGGCCAAUCGACGCCAGAUGACGAAAGCGAUGUGGUAUUUCUAUAAAUCGAACAUAAAAAUAAAAUUACAACAAUUAUAUGCCAAUACUAUGCGAUAUUAUCACAUUCAUAGUUUGAUUCAUAUCAUACGUAAUUUAAUAUUAUUCCUUCAUUACAAAACCAUUCACUACUUUAAUUUCCAAAUCACAUUUCGUUAUAUAAUUCAUUCCAUUAUAUCGCAUUUGCUAUUUAAUAAAAUUUUCAUUUCAAAACUAUUAUCAUCUCAAGUCAUGAUUUCAGUUUUAUCAAUUACUUCCCCUAUUAACAUGACUCAAACUCGGAUAUGCGGAUCCAACCAACACAUCAAAGUUUGUCACCAAGUGCCUAAUAGAUAAACCAUAGAAAUUGAUUGCACCUUGCGCUAGCCAGUAAGAUAAAAAAAUAUAUGUGCCCAUCACUGGUCAGUAUAACUGACGAAUGGGGUGCCCAACACUCCCUGACACAUAGUUGUAAAACCUUAAACUCUUCCUAUCCUACCCAAACUGUUAAUAGGGUAAAAAUUUUCUCAAUUUAAUUUAUAACAAAUUACAUAAUCAUACAUCACCAAUUAUCAAUUCAAUCAUUCAUUUACCAACAUAACAAAACAUCUCAUUUCCAUAUAGAAUAUAAUCUCACAUGCAUCUCAUUCCGGAAUGUAAUCUCGCAUACAAUAUAUGCUAUUAUUAUAGCUAUACAAUUUAAUCAUUUAUCACCAAUAAUUAUUUGAUCAUAACAAUUCAAUUCGAAUUUAUCAUUUUGCAACAUUACUCUAGCAAUUAACUUACCUUAUAUACUUACCUAAUAAUACAAUGUGUAAUAGGAGUAAAUACAAAAGUUUAGAUGAUAAAAACACCAACAAUAGAUUUCAAGCUAUUCAACAUCGACUUUAUUUUUCCCUUUCUUACUCGAGGAUUCCGAAACGAUAUUAGCUACGGAAUAAAACAAACCACACAUCUCAUCAAUACACAAACAAUUUCACAUUUAAUUAUCAAAUUACGUAACUUUUGUACUUUAUUCAAUUUAGUCCCUAAAAUUGGGACUAGCCUAACUUUCACAUUAAACCCUAAAUUUUUAUACUAAUUUCACUACAAGCCUAAUUUAAUUCCCUAUUUCUCAAUGUCAUCCCCUAAUUUUGAGUUUUUUACAAUUUGGUCCAUAUUACUCAAAAUCAACCAUUAACUUCACAUUUAACCCAUUUUCACUUCUAACCUAAAAAUCUAUCAAAUUAGUCUCUAUGGCUUUAACUACUCAAUAAUCGUAACAUCUAAAAUCUUAAACAAUACUAAAAAAGAAGGCAUGGGUUGAAUGAAAAAAUAAGACAUCAGAAUUUCGAAAACAUAAAAAUUACAAGAAAAUAAAUUGAAGCUUGAAUGCUUAAACCUCUAAUGCCGAAUACUUCUUCUUCUCCCUUUAAUUUCGGCUUGCAUCAAGAAAGAAUGAAAAUGUUUUUAUUUUAUGUUCCACUAACUUGUUUUAAGUUAUUUUAUUAUAUUAUGUUUUAUGUUAUUAAUUUAUUUAUUUUAAGUAAAAAUUUACAACAUUUUUAACAUUUAAAACCAUGAUGCCAUCCACUUAUAAACCAUAGGUAUAAUUACCUUUUAAGUCCCCUUAAAUAAAUUCUAAUUAGAAUUCUUUAGUAACUCAUAUGUUUACCACUUACGCGAUUUAGUCCCUAUACUAAAAUUAAGCCUUAAUUCAAUUAAAUUUCUUAACCAAAAUUCAACUCGCUUCUAAUAAAACUCUAUAAAUAUUUAAUAAAAAUAUUUAUGAGUCUGGUUCAUGGAAACGGAGUCCCAAAACCUCACUUUUCGACACCAUUGACUUUUGAAUCAUUACAAGGAUGUUUUUCAAUUAAGCACUAACACAAAGAAAAUACUUGAACUGAUAGAAAACAAUACAUGCUCACAAGUGUAUACAAAAAGAUAAAGAAUUGAAGCACAGAGGUUGAAAAAAAGAGUUGUUGAUCUUUCUUGAUAACUCUUAAUCUUUUGUAAUCUUUUUGUUGUUGUUGAACAUUUGAAAGCUGGUAUUUAUAGUCCCAAAUUGAUUUCCACCCAUUUUGAUUGUUGUGGAAUUGAAUAGAAUCAUUGGGAUGUAAAAACCAAUGCAUUAAUGUCACCUACAACAACAAGUAUCGAUACCUUUGGAGGGCUAUCGAUACUUUGGGCAUUUAAUGCCUCAAUUUAGUGAUCAUUAAAGCCUGUAGUAUCGAUACAAUAGGGUAUGUAUUGAUACUUGCUAUGAGGUAUCGAUACUCGGAUAAUUUAUUGUUUUAAUUUUCAAAACAUUGAACCUUAAAACAGUAUCAUUACUAGGAGGAGGUAUCAAAAUAUUUGGUAAGGUAUAGAUACUUUGUAUUUGUCCUCAAUAUUUUUUUAGAAACAGAAGCUCAAUUUGGUAUCGAUACUAUGAAAGAGUAUCAAUACUUUGGUCAAGAUAUCGAUUCUCUUUUAUUCGUGCUCCUUUUUUGAAUUUCGAAGCUCAAUUCGGUAUCAAUACUUGGGGUUAAGGUAUCAAUACCUUGUUUAGGGUAUCAAUACUUUGAUCCCUGUGAGUAUUUUAACUUGUUUAAAAAUGUUAGAAAAAUUGUUUAUUGUUUUAAAAAACUUCCAAAAUAAUUUUCAAGUAUUUGAAAGAUUAGAUUUAAAAUUUCUCUCUCAAAAUAUUUUGAAACAAAUUUUUACUUUCAAAUUUAUCAAGUUUUAUUUCAAAAACAAGUUUUCCUCAAAAACAUUAUAUUUGUUAUAUCAAAACUCUUAUCAAAUUAAAGCUCGACUUAACAAAAUAUAAUCUUUAAACAUUACAUCUAAAUAUUAAAAAUAAAAUGUAAACAUAUAAUAUACAAUUUAUUAUUAUAAACUAAUAAAUAAUUCAUUAAAAUUAAUGUUUUAAAAUUAAAGUUUAAUAACCAAAUUUAGAUUAAAAAACAAGAGUCAAAUUUAAUAAAAAUAUAUCAACGUUGAGGGCUAAAAUUGUUAUUAUACUUUUAAUUAAUUAUUUUUCUUUCACCUAUGCAGUUCUAUAAUUACAUUACAAAGCUAUUCCAUCCAAAACAAAAAGAAGUAAAUAUUUGGUUGAGCCAGAAGAUAGCAUAAAUAGAAAACUUGAUGCCUGUGAAGCUAAAACUCUCCCUAUGUAGCAACUUCGUAAACAUCACUUCUCUAGUUGUUGCGAUUGCCACCAUAUUAAUUUUUCCACUCCUCAAUUACAACACUAAAUACAAUUAUAAGUAAACAACAUUAUUGAAAGGUGAACUAUUAGUAGAUGAAGUCUGUGAGUGUUGGGGAGAAGCAAAAAGAAAAUUUAGGGGAUAAAAUUAAAUUGUAAUUUUUAUGAUAGUAAAAAUGUAAUUCCGUAAUUUUAAUAGUUUAUAUCUUUAUAAAUUUUAAAAGAUUAAAUUAAUUUUUUAUCAUUUUUAAGAGGGACCAAAGUUUAAUUUUACCUUUACUAUUUAAAAUUUAAAAAAAAAUUUAAAGAGCUUUUGCCAUAUUUGAACCUCCAAAAAAAUUUGACUAUAAAUAUCAUGCAGAGGAAUAAAUGAAUGUCUUUGUUACAUGGUAUGGUUGUAAAUGUAGUAUCGUUCACUUUUCUUUCAAUAUUCUUAUAGAUUAUGAAGGGUGUUAGAGAGUUGUAUAUCUACAUUUAUAUUUAGAUAUUCGUCGUGAAUUAAAAGUGUAAUACUUGAAUUUGUAAGUUAUUUAAGUUUGAAAAAAAUUCGAUUCAAUAAUUAUCAAUCGAACUCAAAUUCAAACAAUUUAAAUUAUCGAUUAAGUUAAAGUCAAACAUUUUAAUAUUUGAUUAAAGUAUCUUGCGAGCAAUCGACCUUCUUAUAUAUUCUUUAAUUAAUUUUCGGGUAAACUUUAAAAUUAGUCACUUUUGUUUGUCUUAGAUUACAUUUUAAUCAUUUAUGUUUGAAAUGUUAAGUUUUAGUCACUUACGUUAUCGUUUUGUUACAAAGUGGUCACUCUAUCUUUAAGCUCUGUUACCUCCCUAAUGGCGGUCCUACGUGGCAGUCCAAACGGGUUUUAAAUGCCAACUUUGAUGUCCUAUGUGGCAAUCCAAAUUGAAUUUAUUUAAUUAAAAACCUAUUUUCAUUCCAGCAACUGGACAUCCAAGUUGGCAUUUAAAACCCAUUUGGACUGCCACGUAGGAUUACCGUUAGGGAGGUAAUGGAGUUCAAUGGUAGAGUGACCACUUUGUAACAAAAUAAUAACGUAAGUGACUAAAACGUAACAUUUCAAACAUAAGUGACUAAAAUAUAAUCUGAGGCAAACAAAAGUGACUAUUUUUAUAGUUUACCCUUAAUUUUGUGCAAUGUAUAGAUUUAUUGCAUGUAAUUAUAAAAAAAAAGUUAAUAUAAAAUAAUUUAAAAUAUUUGUAUUUAAAUAUCAUGGAAAAAAUUAAAAUGCACGUAACUUCUAUACAAUAAAUUAAGAGCUAAAUUAGAGAUAUGAUUGAAUGACUGAAAACAUGAAUAUAACUUACAUUUGAUUUGUGCCAGUAGAGUAACGUGUUAGAAACAUAAAAAUUUUGGCACGUUACUAUAGUAAAUACAGAAAAUAAUCUUGGAAAAUUUAUAAUCUUAGAGGCUCAUAUAAAUUUUUUAAGAAUAUCAAAUUAUAGAUUGAUUUUGAUCUUGACUUCUGAUAUAAAUUAAAUUGUACUAUUGAAUCUGAAGGAGCUAAACUAUAAAUAGAGACCUUCCCAUUUGUAAGCAUCCCAUUGUAGCUCAUUCUUGAUUAAUAUCACACUUUUACAAGUAUUUACUCAAACACUUAGUAUGCUAUUGCUUUUUUGCAACUUGUUUUGUUCUCUCGUUUCUUCUUUAUUUUUUCGGUGCCCACUUUCGAGAAUAAGAUUGACUUAGGCGACUUUGAAGCAAAAGAAUCGCCUAAUACCACGCAAUUUGCAAGACUAUAAAGUUCUAGGCGCAUGACAAUAUUUUGUGGUUGUAAUUUGCUCCAAUAUUACAUUUGCUCUACUAGUUUAAAGUGUAAAGAUUAAGGACACAGAUUUCAUUUACUUCUAUGAUUGUUAUCAUUUAUUUAAGGGAAAUGUAGGCUUAAUGGAAAGCCACUUUAUAUUCAAUAGACGGUUAUUGUUAAGAUAUUAUUUACUUCGAAACCAAGACUGUUCAAACAUGGAUGGAGAGUGAAGAGAUCAAUCUAUUUUUUGUUUUCCUUGGUGAAAAUCUAUGGGUUUUUUUUUUUCAAAAAAAUUUAUCUAGUGCAAAUAACUUCCCAUCCUCAAUUUGCAGCAAUGACGUUAGCAACAAUUAUAUUAAUAUGUUAUUGCUUAUACUUGUCCUUUGAAGGUGGAAUUAUGAGUUCCAGACCUUAAAAUUCCUGGCAUUGUACUUGAUUUAUGAUCGGCUAUCACUUCUGUAUUUUGCAGAGAAAACUGAUGCGAAACAGAGUUUUAAAGCUUUUACGAGCUUUGGUUUCCAUUACUGAAGCCGUCUCUGAUUGUCCUAAAACAAUAAGAGUUGUUUCUAAGGAUUUGAAUGGUUUUCUCCAAUCAGAAAUAGACCAAAUUCCUAAUAGUUGGAAACAAGUUUCGAAAAUCACCAGGUCCAAGGAGUUUUCACAGUCCAUAGCAAUGUAAAGAACUGCAACCUGAAGGAGAUUUGAAGUCAAAUUCAACUCCGAGCUGGCUGAAUUGGUGUGUGGUGAUGAGUUUAGGGAGCUGAUUGGUGAUUGUAUUCAAGUUUCUGUAGUAAAAUUUUAAAGAAGAAUCAAUUUGUUGAAUUCUGAAUCAAAGGGUUUUAACUUUAGAUUUGAACUCCAUAAAUCUCACUGUUUUUAAUCUCAAUUAUAAAAGUGAGUACUUUUGGAUCGGGUUGUACUUAGCAGAGACAGGGUAUAAAAACCCUAGCAGAAAACAAAAAAAAAGAGUUUAGGGUUUUUUUUUUUUGGCUGCAAAUGAUUUUUCUGCCAAAAAAAAAUUAAUAAAGACACAAAAACGGUGUCGUUUUACUAAGGCAGAUCCGCGCGUCGACCCGACCCGCAAGCAGGGUCCUCGCGUUCAGGCCUUGAAUGGGAAAUUUUCGAAAUUAGGCCUCCCUUUUUGCGGCGCGCUUUAAUCAAACCCGUUGUUCCUCUUUUAAUUUGGCCCAAAUAUUUUACCUUCAUGACAUUUUAAUCCAGGUCGCUGCGCAGCGUUUUGGGGAGGUGGAUUAUUUCUGAUUUGGCCCCCCACGUAAUUCACGUGUUGCAAUUUACUCCUCCAUUUUGCUGAAAUUUCAUUAUUUCCUGUUGUUUUAGUUUUAUUGACUAUUUAGUCAUUUUUGUAAUUUUGUAAUUAUAAUUAUUAUUGUCUAUUAUUAUAAUUAUUAGUGUAAGUACCCCUUUUCACAUGGCAAUUUAUUUAUUUAUUUUUAUUCUACUAUGUAUUAUUAUUCUAGUUUUUUAUCAAGUGUUACUAUUAAAUUUUAUAAUGUACUAUUUUAUUUUUUUUUAAAAAUCUAUAUAAUACUUUUAAUGAUUUUUAUUUUUCAUAAAUUCACUCUUUUUUUAUGCUUUAAAGGAUUUUAUAUGAUAAUAUUCUUGUAUAAUAUUUUUAAUACACACGAGGGUUAUAUUUUUUUUCCUUUUUAUCUUGAUUUCAUAUUUUUAUAUUUAGUAACUAUAAGUUUCCACUUAAAAAUGUCUUUGGUUUUAAUAAAAAUCCAUUUCUCAAGACCCCAUUUUAUUAUAUGUUUUCUUCAUUUAAACUUUUAUAGCUAUAUGUAGGCAUUAUCGUUUUUAUAAAGUUUUCAAGCAUUAUUUCGUUAAGAUCAAUGAAUAUGUAUAUUAUUUUGUAUGGAUGUUUUUAAAUCUCCUUUUGUGAAUAUUCUUUUAAAUUUUUAUAAAUCCACGAGUGUUAAUUUGUUUAAUGCUUGGAUUGACUUUUAAUGCAUCAGUCUUUGAAUAUGAGCAUAAUAUAUGAUGUGUGGCUAUGGUUAUAUAUGUAUAUAUCAAUUUGCUCUUUUGCAUUUUUAUAUUAUUUUAUAUUCUAGAUAUGUAUUAUUAUGCCAUGCAUACAAUUACACUCUUAUUUCUCAUUAUUGCAUUGUGAGCCAAAUUUUAAUGUAUGUGAUCAUUACUGAUUUUCUUCCUUUCUUUAUGUCAAGCUAAUCAAUUAAAUAUGUUUUGAGUCGGCUUUAUAAUGCGUUUCAAAGUUUCGAGAAAUCGUACCCUAACUUACAGGGUCUCGAUUUUCUUGUUAAUUCGAAAUGUCCCUUUAUUUUCAAAAAUGUAUGCUUUUUGAUAAAAUUAAAAGCAAGUUACAUAUCAUCUUUGGAACUGUGAAGAAUCGUACUCUAACUUACGGGGUUUCGAUUUUCUCGCUGAGCUAAAACGGCUAAAUAUUUUUUAUCUUUCAAAGUCGUUAAAUUUCAAUAAAUUUUUUAAAGGUUAAGCUUUUUCUUGAGAAUUUGAAUGUUGUAUCUAACUUACGGGGUACGACAUUUUGUUGGCUUGAGGUGGGAAAGCCUUUUACCCUCGAUCAAAUUUAUUCAAAUGUUUUUCUAAAAUUUGUGGUAUUAAUCAAAGGGGAAUCAUUUUUUAAAAAUCUUGGAUUUUCAUUAUUCGACUAUAAGACAUCUGUUAAUUAAUUAGGUACCAAUUUUGGGCGUUAUGAGGGUGCUAACCCUUCCUCAUACGUAACCGACUCCCGAACCCAUUGUUUUAAUUCGUAGACCAAAUUUAUUUUUAGGUGAUCCGAUCACACCUUAAUAAAGGAUCGGUGGCGACUCCAUUUUCAUUUUCAAAGUCAAUUCCUGUUUUUCAAAAAAAAAAACGGUUUCGACAAGUAUGUUACUAAUUGGUAUUGUAAUUAACUAAACUACUUAAAAGGUUUAUUGAAGUUAGUUUUUAAACUAAAAUUCUAAAUUGAAAACUAUCUUUUAAAGUGUUAUACAAACAUUUACUUAUUUUAGACAACAAAUUAUGAAAAGGUGAAGAUUUCAAUAAAUUAUAAAGUAAAAUAUAUCUUUUAAAAUGUGUCAAUUGAGGACAAUUGUGCACUUCUAACUUCUGCAAAUACGAUUGUGUGUGCAAAAUGUCGUCCAUAUCCUUUCCUUUCAAUUGAGGCAAAUCAAUCAACGAAACCUAAAAUGAAAAGCAUAAUAAAAUUUCCCAAUCUUUGACCAUAGGACAAUAAGGAAAAGAGAUGUCAAGUUAUUGCAAUGAGAUACACACACUUCCCUUAGACUCGCACUUGUGGAUCUUGGAUUAUUUGUUUCAACUGCGAGCAACUCUUUAUCGUCAAAGUAUACAAUUGCCCAAGGGUAGUAGCAACAGACAGUGGGAAGAGAUACUUUGAGUUAUCGCAAUUUUCAACUUCUAUUUCCCUUAAACUCUGGAGGCUUAUAUAUGGCACUUGUGAGUCUUCGAUUAUACCUUCCAAGCUCCGGUAAUUCUUCAUCUCCAAAGUAUGCAAUUGCCAAAGGCUAUAGCAACAGACAUUAGGAGGAUAUAUUUCAAAUUAUUGUAACUCUCUGUUUCAAUAAUCUUCAAACUUUGGAGGCUAAAAUGACGAUGGAACAAAGUGUUAAUAUAAUAAGUAUAACCAUUUAUAUUUUUUAAGUAUAAAAAUUAAAAUCCCUGAAGUAUGAACUUUUAAUGCAUAUCUUUAAUUUAUUUAGGUAAAGAUAUAUUUGAUUUUAUUUAAGAAUGAAUAAAAAAAUUAACUAUUACAUAAUCACAUUACAAUGGCAUUGUAUUCAAAGUGUUUCUCAAAAUAACCAUCUCAACUUUUAAUAUAAUAUUAGAUUUAGUUAUUAGUAUUUAUAUAUUAAUUUGACUUUUAUUUUUUAAAAACUAAAUUUAGUUAUUAAUUUUUUUAAAAAAAACUUAAAUUAUUUUUAAGCUCCAUGUAUACUUCAUGUUUAUAUGACAAUAUUUAUCUUAUAUAUCACGUCAAUAAAUAAUUUAAAAAUUAAAAAAUAACAUGAAAUACACAUAGAUAAAUACAAUAAUUUAUCUUAUCAUUUAUUUAUUAUUUUUUAUUGAAACAGUGAAUUGGAUCCCUACCAAAGAAGUAUUCGAUAGGCUCAUUUGAAUUGUUACUCAAACAACUCCAUUUUAAGUUCUCCUUAAUUGCAUUUGUAAGUAGCUCGUCUUACUUACAUGUUUUAAUUUAAUACAACAUUUUUUUGAGAUAAAAUCCAUGUUAGUGAUUUGAAUUAAGGCAUAAUAUCUAACAUAUCUCAUUGUGAUAUUACUAUUUUAGGUUAAAUGUAUUCACUUAAUUAUAUAAGUAACACGUUUCUUAUUUUUUUAAGAUAUAAAUGAACAAACAUAAAUAGUAAUAAACAAAUUAUAAAUAAAUAAAAGAAACACAUAAACAAUAAUAGUAUUAAUUAUAUAAUUAAACAAUAGUUGAUUUUAAAUGAUUUACUAAACUAGUUUUAAACUAGCAUGAAGAUAAUUAGUUUGGAUAUGUUUCAAUUAUAUUACGUUAAUUUAAUAAAUAAAUUUUAAAAUUUUAUUAAUGUUGAUUUAUUUAACUUAACGAACGAAUAUAAAUAAAUAAAGAUCCAACUCAUAAACUAUUUAUUUACAGCCUUAAACUUGACUUAUAUCUAUUUAGAACACUUAAGUAACCGUAAUUUAUUGUCAACUUUAGACUUCAAGAACUAGAAAUGAAUAAGAGUUGGAUGGAUUUGUUAACGGUAAGCAACGAAUAUCAAAAUGGAGUACAAACUCUUCUAAAUUAGUUUACAUUUAAAUUUUUAUAUUUAAAUAAUUUAUUUAAAGUGAUUGAUCUACAAGUUAACUCACGCAUUAACUUAUAUUUAUACCUUAUCUGAGAAAAUUUUAAUUUUUAUAAUUAAUAAAAUUUAAUUUACAAUUAACUUACUAAACUUUUAUGAAGAAAAUUAGAAACCCCGUCGGUUAAAACUAGUUAUUUUUCCUUUUAAAAAAUCUAGUUCUUUUUUUUUAAAAGUAAUGUUUUAUUAUUUUAUAUAUUUAAUAAAAACUUUUAUAAAGAAAAUUAGAAACCCCAUCGGUUCAUGUUCAGCUUUAUUAAACUAAGAUUAAAAUUAUGCAUUUUAAUAUUUAUAUUAAUAUAUUAAUACAAAAAACAUAUAUUUUAAUAUUUUUAUUUACAUACAUUAAUAUAUAAUUAUUUUAUUAUUUUAAAAAAUUAAUAAUAUUAAUAUGUUAUUUUAAAAAAUAAUAAUUUUAUUUAUUGUUUUAAUAUUUCAUAAAAAUUAAAUGUUAUAAUAUUUUAUUUUGUUAUUUUAUUAUAUUUUAGUGUAAAUAUUUUUUAAAUACUAAUAUUUUAUAUUUUAUUUUAAACUAUAUAAAAAAAGAUGUUAAGGGUAAGAUGAUAAAUUAGUAAAUAACACUUGUGUUUUAACUCAUAGAAAAUACAUGAUAAGAAGAUUAACUAUUUGGCACAAGUGUAAACCGUGUUAUCCUAUCUCCUACCCCUAAUAUUGUAUCGAAAAACGCUUGUAAGAAGAGUGAUAUAUAUCCAAAUUUCAACAACCAUACAAUUUGAUGUAGUAGCAUCUAUCUUUUAUCCAUCAUUUAAAAGUUGAGUGUUAUUUAACAUAACACUCCUCUUUUACAUCAAGCCUACCAAAUAUAGUCACGGUGCUUGCAGAAGUACACACUUUUGUAGUCACUUCUGCUCAUACAUUGCUUGUUAAUUAGCAACUAUUUUAGAUCAACAAAAAAUCAUUUAAAUGAAUUAAAUUUUAUUAAUGGAGUUUGAAAAAGGAUUUUUUAUUGUAUAUUUUGUAUUUUUUUUUACAAAAAGAAUGGGAUCAAAUUCAAUUUCACAAGUCUUAGUGAGAUUAGUUUGAAAGAAGUUAUUCAAUAGCAUGGAACUUGAAUGGAAGGUAUUACUAAAUUUGUCCUAUUUUGUUUUAAAUUUGUUAUUGGAUUCUAUUGAAUAAUUUUUUUUUCUUUUUUAUGUCUCAGUAUUGAACAAUCUUGAGCUUUAUUGCAAUAUAAUAUUAAGUUUUCUUGUAUGAACAUUAGUUUCUAAUCACAUUUAAGCUUUGUGCAAAAUGAAUAUUAUAUUAAGAUAUUGAAAUUGAUCUAUUUUUUUUAUCCAUUUUCAUGAUUUAUGGCAAUGUUGAAUAUUUUGUUGUUGCAGAAAUCAUAAUUUUUAUAUAGAAUUUUCUAUUUUUAAAAAAUAAUGUUGAGUUUUUAAAAUUAAUUUUAUAUAGAAUUAGGGUUAAAUGGAGAGAAAGUAUAAAAGUUAAGGGUUAAAAUUGUAAUUAUAGUAACUAAAAAAGUGUGGUUGUUAGCUAUUUAAUAGUUGGGCAAAAAAAUAUUUUUAAAAACGUUAGUGGCCAAAUUGUAACUCUUUUAAUUAAAUGACACAUAAUUGAGGGAUUAAUAGUGUAAUUUAACCUUAUCUUUUUUAAACAUAUGGAUUAAUUCACAUUUAUUUGGAAUAUGUUAUUAGUUCACAUAUGGAUUUAACUAGUGGUGGAGCUAGAAAAUUUUUUGGAGGUCAAAAUUAAAUUGUAUAUUUUUAUGAUAGCAAGAAUGCAAUUUCACUAUUUUAUAGUCUAUAUCUUUAUAAUUUUUAAAUGAUUAAAUCAAUUUUUUUAUCAUUUUUGAGAUUAAAGUGUAAUUUUACUAUUAUUAAUUUAAAAUUUUAUAAAUUAUAAAGGAGAUAAGUGAAAAAUUAUCCAUUAAUCAACUCAUGGCUCUACCACUUGAUCGAACACAUAUCACGAGUCCUUUCCCGCGUGUGUCAAAUUUUUUUUAUAUGGUUGAAAUAUCAUCACAUGUAUUUAUGUUUGAAUACACAUCGCAAAACCUUGAGUUGUUUCGGCAUGACCUAGAGAAAAAAAAAUGGAGAAACAUGAAGGUAGCUUAGAAGAAUCCAAAAGCAAUAAACGAAAGCUAGACCAAAGGUUGAAAUCAUCAUUAACCAAGCCUUUACUUUUUCUAACGCCGGGAAGAUUCUAUAUUCGUUGAGAAAAUCGGCAAAGACUUUGUUAUCUUUUGGAAGGACUUGUAAAGAAACAAUUUUUUAUAUUUACGUUCUGAUGUUUUUCAUAUUAACAUUAUUGAUGUUUCUAAAUUUACCUUCUGUAAUGUUGGAACUAGUUGAAGAGUCCUCAGAUUCUGAAGAGGAAUCAAAUUUUAGUCAUCAGCAUAGGAUGGAAGAUGAGAAGUUGCUGUCGGCAGUGUUGGAGAGCAAAGGAGAAGGUAAGAAGACUGCAACUCAAGAGGAUGGAGGCAAAUCAGAAAUGGGUAGAUGACAGAAUUGUGAAUAGGACUCUCAUAUUCUGGGUCCAACUUAUGCAAUACUUCUAUGAUCUGGGAAGCGUGUAGAGAUCCACAAAUGAGUUUGCAGUGAUUGCUGCGGUCCUCUCCAACAAGGAGCCAAUUGUUUUGUAGACACAAUGGCUAUGGAUGGGAUGGAAAGUUUAUGGUUAAACUAUUCCCCUUAAAUUCACGUCAGUAUAAAAUAAAAUGUAAAUUAAUUUAAAAUUUUAAAAUAAUUUUAUUUUAAUUUUUAAGUCAAGAAUUUUGAUGAGUUAAAAUUAUAAGAUAAAGGCUUAUUUAUUACAAAAAUAAUUCAAAAACUUGUUUAAAUAAAGUGUAAUAAUUUAACGGAAUUUUUAAUAUGUUGGCCAAAGAAAUUCAUCUAAGUAAGAAAUGAGAUUCAAUUGAAGUUAACAAUGAAGAAUGCUUUUAAUGUGCCCAACAUUAGACCAAUACAAAUAAUUGUAAGUUUUGUAAAAAAAUCUUAGUUUUAUUUUUUAAUCUUUUUUGUAAUAGUUAGUCCAUUCUUUUUUUAAUCUUUGAUUUUUGUUUAUAGCUCAGUAAAUCAGUAAAUCUGUCUUCAAUUUAACGAAUAAACGGUACAUAAUAACGAAUAAAUGGCAUUCAAUUUAAACGUUCACAAUGCUUAAUUUUUAAAUAGAAAUUACUUCAUUUACUGCCAAUUGGCCAUUCUAUAUGCUUAAUUUUCAAAUAGAAAUUAAUUCAAAAAGAAAUUACUAAAAUCAAAAUGUAUGUCAUCUUCCUCUUUGGUCCAUUCUAUAUUACUACCAAUUGGCCAUGCAGUUUCUUGAGCUGUAGCAGAUUCUUCCACUAUAAUUUCAUCAACUGAUUGGCUUGCCUGCAAAGCAAAUUAAACCUUCACUUAUUACUGUUUGCUUUUGAUGAUUGAUGAUGACAAAAGCAAAGCCAGUUUUCCAAAAUUGGACAAAGGAUGACAUAUUUAAAAUAUUGAAAAUAAUAAUGCAACAAGGAUAUAAAUCUAGAAAGAAAUAUUGACAGCCAGCAAAAACCAAUUACUGUUGAUGCAAUUUUAUUUAGUCAUUUAAAGCAUAAAAAAGAAAAAGAAAGAAUUUCUCUCAAGCAGCCAAAAUAAAAAUAUUGCAUUAAUGCAUAGAAAUUAAAGCUUAGUAUUGGAAGGCUACAUAGAGAAAAUAAAUGAAUGGAUGAAUUUCUGUUUUAAAGCUUAUUGUUGAGUUUGGAAGAGUAGUGUACCUGUGUUUUCGCAUGCACUGAUUUCUCUGAAUCAACAUUAAAUCUUGUGGUUAUGUUGGGACAACUUUUUACAUGAAACCCAUCAAAAAUGGGAAAUCAAAAUGAUAACCCACAGGACUGAAGCUCACGAGAUUUGGUAGCUCAUAAAGCUCUAAGAUGCGGAGCUGAGGAAGGCGUAUCACUUUCUCUUCUUCCUUAUUCAGAUUUGACUCAUCUCCUUCAAACACCUGCUCUAAUUUGGAGACCCAUUUAAGGCAUAAUCUCAAUAGGUUUGGAAGGCCGCCAUGAGCAAGAGUAAUGGCAUUCGGUUGAAGUUCACAAUGAAGAAUGGUUAUGUCAGUCUAUAUGGCUACCACUUUUCUUUUCUACUACUUUGAAUAAAGCUCAUAUUUAUUUCUAGACAAGCAUAUCUUAUACAUGUGCAGAGGAUAAGUUGUUAAACUAAAAACUAUUCUUUUUUUAAACUCAGAUUAAUCAAUAGAAUUCACAUUAGUUCAACAUAUGGUUCACUUUGUUUUUUUCCUUAUAACUCACUAAAAUUUGUCUUCUCUCUCAAGGAAAAGAAAAAGUAGGCGGUAUAUACUAACAAAUAAAUGACAUUCAAUUUAAACACUCGCAAUGAUGAAUUUUCAAAAUGAACUCCUUAAAUAGAAAUGAAAUCAUUUAUUGCUCCAUUCAUUCAUUUUCUAGUUGGUUACCGACUUGAUUAAGUAAUGAACAAGUAAAAAUAGUGAAAGAAAUUGAAAAAUUGGACACAUAAAUUUAACGUGGAAAAACUCUUCCAAAGAGGAUAAAAAAUCACGGACAAAAAUAAUUUUACUAUAAUGGCAAAAGAACGAAGAAUACAAGAGAUGGAGAUAAAAACUAAACCCCGAAACUCGAAAACAAAGAACCAUCAAAAUAUAAAUAAAAAUUUCUUCAAAAGUGUUAUGAGAUCUAUUCUUUUUGGGUGUAUUUUCUAAGUUUGUAAAAGAACUUAUUUAUAAGAUAAAUUCGUAGGUCAAAUAAUAAUAAAAUAAUCUAGACUAAUCAGGGUUCGAAUGAAAUGAAUAAAUAGAGUUUAAUUAUCUCUCAAAUUUGACUGAAAUAUGAGGCAUACUCAACAAGUCUCCACCUUAACUCAAUUUUCCACAAUGUCAUCAUUUCCAAAACCUACCACAGGCCUAUCUUGAACUAUGCAGGGAAUUAAUUGAGUCGAAUCUGUGCUUAGAAGCUGCAAGACUUCUAGUCUUCGAUGUAACACCCCAAACCCGUCCUAGACAUUAUGGGCGAAUCUGGAGUUACAAAAAAGGGUUUUGAAAAUAGUGAUAUUUCGACCAUCCAUGUUUAUUGUGGUUGUUAAUACUAUAUUGUUUUUAGCUAUUUUAGUUGUUUAGUAAGGAUUGUAAUAAAUCUUCAUUAUGUUAGCAAGUCUCGAAAUCUCUAUGUAAUUAAGAGACUUGUAUAAGUUGAUGCACAAAUUAUUAAGAGCAUUUAUAUGUUCAAGUGAAGAACAUUAUUUUGCAAGAGUGCAUUUGUGAUUGUAAAAUUUUGUAUUGUGGUUUUGCAAACUAAGUUCUCUGAGGGAGAAUUUAGUGGUGAGUGAUCUAAUAUUCAAAGGUACAAGAGUGAGGAAUCGUCAUUGGGGUGUGAUACAUUUAGGUUCAUUGGUUGUAAUUGUUUAAAUAUAGUAAUUCUUCUCACUAAGCAAGGCUUCACAAACGUAGGGAAACUAAACUGCAUAAACAAACUUUGAUGCUUCCUAUUUUGUUUUUGCUUAUCACAGUGCUUGUAGAAGUACACACUUUUGUAGUCACUUUCAACACGGAGCCAAUUGUUUUGCAAACACAAUGGCUAUGACUGGAUGGAAAGUUUAUCGUUAAACUAUUCUCUUUAAAUUCCCAUUAGUAUAAAAUAAAAUAUAAAUUAAUUUAAAAUUUUAAAAUGAUUUUAUUUUAAUUUUUAAAUCAAGGAAUUUGAUAGGUUAAAAUUAACUAUAAAAUAAUUUAACUCUUUUAAUUAAAUGACACAUAAUUGAGGGAUUAAUAGUGUAAUUUAACCUUAUCUUUUUUAGCAUUAUGGAUUAAUUCACAUUUAUUUGGAAUGUGUUAUUAAUUCACAUAUGGAUUUAACUAGUGGUGGAGCUAGAAAAUAUUUUGGGGUCCAAAAUUAAAUUGUAUAUUUUUAUGAUAGCAAGAAUACAAUUUCACCAUUUUAAUAGUCUAUAUAUUUAUAAUUUUUAAAGGAUCUGAUAAUUUUUUUAUCAUUUUUGGGAUUAAAAUGUAAUUUUCUUAUUAUUAAUUUUAAAUUUUAUAAAUUAUAAAGGACCGAAGUAAAAAAAUUCCCAUUAAUCAACACCCUUGGCUCUACCACUUGAUCGAACACAUAUCAUGAGUCCCUUCCCACGUGUAUGGCUGAAAUAACAUCACAUGUAUUUAUGUUUGAAUACACAUCACAAAACCUUGAGUUGUUUCGGCAUGACCUAGAGAAAAAAAAAUGGAGAAACAUGAAGGUAGCUUAGAAGAAUCCAAAAGCAAUAAACGAAAGCUAGACAAAAGGUUGAAAUCAUCACUAACCAAGCCUUUACUUGUUCUAACUCCAGGAAGAGUCCAUAUUCGUUGAGAAAAUCGGCAAAGACUUUGGUAUCUUUUGGAAGGACUUGUAAAGAAACAAUUUUUUAUAUUUACGUUCUGUAAUGUUUUUCAUAUUAACAUUAUUGAUGUUUCUAAAUUUACCUUCUGUAAUGUUAGAGUUAGUUGAAGAGUCGUCAGAUUCUGGAGAGGAAUCAAUUUUUAGUCAUCAGCAUAGGAUGGAAGAUGAGAAGUUGCUGUCGGCAGUGUUGGGAGAGCAAAGGAGAAGGUAAUAAGGCUGCAACUCAAGAGGAUGAAGGCAAAUCAGAAAUUGGUAGAUGACAGAAUUGUGAAUAGGACUCUCAGAUUCUGGGUCCAACUUAUGCAAUAAUUCUAUGAUCUGGGAAGCGUGUAGAGAUCGACAAAUGAGUUUGCCGUGAUUGCUGCGGUCCUCUCCAACAAGAAGCCAAUUGUUUUGCAGACACAGUGGCAAUGGAUGGGAUGGAAAGUUUAUGGUUAAACUGUUCCCCUUAAAUUCACGUAAGUAUAAAAUAAAAUGUAAAUUAAUUUAAAAUUUUAAAAUAAUUUUAUUUUAAUUUUUAAGUCAAGAAUUUUGAUGAGUUAAAAUUAUAGGCUAAGGGCUUAUUUAAUUACAAAUAUAAUUUAAAAACUUGUUUAAACAAAGUGUAAUAAUUUAACGGAAUUUUUAAUAUAUUAGCCAAAGAAAUUCAUCUAAGUAACAAUGAAGAAUGCUUUUAAUGUGCCCAACAUUAGACCAAUACAAUAAUUGUAAGUUUUUGUAAAAAAUCUUAAUUUCAUUUUUUAAUCUUUUUUCUAAUAGUUAGUCCAUUCUUUUUUUAACCUUUGAUUAAUGAGCAGAAUUCACAUACUUUGUUUUUGGUUAUAGCUCAGUAAAUCUAUCUUCAAUUUAACGGAUAAAUGGUACAUAAUAACGAAUAAAUGGCAUUCAAUUUAAACAUUGACAAUGCUUAAUUUUCAAAUAGAAAUUUCUUCAUUUACUGCUCCAUUCAUUUUAAAAUUCAAAAUGUCUUUCAUCUUCCUCUUCGGUCCAACAUAUAUCACUACCAAUUGGCCAUGCAGUUUCUUGAGCUGUAGCAGAUUCUUCCACUAUAAUUUCAUCAACUGAUUGGCUUGCCUGCAAAGCAAAUUAAACCUUCACUUAUUACUGUUUGCUUUUAAUCAUUGAUGCUGAAGAAAGCAAAUCCAGUUUUCCAAAAUUGGACAAAGGAUGUCAUAUUGAAAAUAAUAAUGCAACAAUGAUAUCUAGAAAGAAAUAUUUGUUAACAUUAAUGGGAGACAACAUUAAUGGCAAACAAUACAAAGUGGUGCAAGUUUAGCACCCUAAAGUUGACUUUGAAAAAGUGGCAUGGGAUAAUUUUUUUGGUCCUUGAGAUAAUGGGCUAUUUAUUGUUUGGUCCUUAAACCUCAACUAUAAAUAGGCCUUCUCAUUUCUCAUUUCAAUCAUCCCAACCAAUCUUUCUCUCUUAGUUUUCUCUCUUCUCCCAUUUGAGAAUUCUCAAGGAAUUCUAUUUGUUUGUAAUAUUGUGAAGAUAGUAAAGUUAUCAUCUGGUGUUAGUGCCCGAGGACGUAGGUAUAAUUUACCGAACCUCGUUAAAACUCUUGUGUUCUUUCUUGUCCUAUUUUUCUUUCAAUAUUUGAGGGUAUAAUAGUAGUAUUUAAUUGUGCUAUUAAAUUACUAUAGAAGGGAUAUUCUGACUAAGGAAAGACUUGGUAUUUAAGAGAUCCAUGUGAUCCACCUCUCUUCCCUGGGAAUUGAACUUUGUGUGAUUUUUUAGUACAAUAAUUUACACGCUUCCGACCCUAUUGGAAAAACAAGUGGUAUCAAGAGCCGAAGGUUAAUCGUAGUAUGCUCUGUGGUUGCAGUUUGAACUGAUCUUCCACAUCAGAAAAGAUUUCCUUAGGUAUAUUGAAAGAUUAUGGAGAAAACGGUCGGUGUAGGAGCUUCAACAUCGUCCAUGUGGACAAGACCGACAAUUGCAAAUGCAAGAUUGGCCGUGGAGAUCUUUGAUGGCACGGGCCAUUUUGGUAUGUGGCAAAGUGAGGUUCUAGAUGCCCUUUUUCAGCAGGGUCUAGACAUUGCCAUUGAUGAAGAGAAACCAGAUGGUGUACAGGAGAAAGAUUGGAAGGCGAUCAAUCGGUUGGCAUGUGGCACAAUUCGAUCAUGCCUUUCUCGAGAGUAGAGGUAUGUUUUUUCAAAGGAGACUUCUGCAAAUAAGUUGUGGGUGGCACUUGAAGAAAAUUUUUUGAAGAAAAACAGUCAAAAUAAGCUCCACUUUAAGAAAAGACUGUUUCGCUUCACAUACGUCCCAAGUACCACAAUGAAUGAUCACAUCACCAAAUUUAAUCAGUUAGUCACUAAUUUGCUGAAUAUGGAUGAGACAUUCAAAGAUGAAGAUUUGGCUUUGAUGCUGUUGGGGUCACUUCCUGAGGAGUUUGAGUUCCUAGAAACUACUCUACUUCAUGGCAGGAGUGAUAUAUCUUUGAGCGAAGUCUGUGCGGCCUUAUACAGUUAUGAACAGAGAAAGAAGGACAAACAGAAAAACUCAAUCAGAGAUACAGAAGCUUUAGUAGUCCGAGGUCGUUCAUACACUCGGAAGAAAACUCAAAAGGGGAGAUCAAAGUCAAAGUCCAGACUCGGGAAAGAUGAAUGUGCUUUUUGUCAUGAGAAAGGCCACUGGAAGAAAAAUUGUCCAAAGCUGAAGAAUAAGGGAAAAGCUGCUGUAGAUGCUUGUGUUGCUAAGCAUGAUACUAGUGACUCUGAACUAUCACUGGUUGCAUCAUCAUCGUCGUUCCAUUCAGAUGAGUGGAUAUUGGAUUCGGGUUGUACCUAUCAUAUGUCCCCUAACCGGGAGUGGUUCUCUGAUUUAGUAGAACUAAAUGGAGGAGUUGUUUAUAUGGGCAAUGACAAUGCUUGUAAAACUGUUGGGAUAGGUUCAAUCCAAUUAAAGAAUAAAGAUGGAUCAACCAGAGUUCUGACUGAUGUUCGGUACGUGCCCAGUUUGAAGAAAAAUCUCAUCUCAUUGGGAGCCUUGGAAUCCAAUGGUUCAGUUGUUACUAUGAGAGAUGGGGUUUUGAAAGUGACAUCUGGCGCACUUGUGAUAUUGAAGGGCAUCAGGAAAAAUAACUUGUAUUACUACCAAGGUAGUACAGUUAUUGGAGCAGUCGCUGCAGCUUCCGGUAACAAAGACUUGGACUCAAUGCAGUUGUGGCAUAUGAAGUUGGGACAUGCCAGCGAAAAAUCCUUGCAAAUUCUGGCAAAGCAAGGAUUGUUGAAAGGUGCAAAGGCUUGCAAAUUAAAAUUUUGUGAGCACUGUGUUCUGGGAAAGCAAAAGAGAGUGAAAUUCGGCACUGCUAUCCAUAAUACAAAAGGUAUUUUGGAAUAUAUUCACUCAGAUGUGUGGGGGCCUUCCAAAACACCUUCGUUGGGAGGAAAACACUACUUUGUUACUUUUGUUGAUGACUUUUCCAGAAGAGUUUGGGUGUAUACCAUGAAAACUAAAGAUGAAGUGCUUGGAGUUUUUCUUAAAUGGAAAACUAUGAUCGAAAACCAGACUGGCAAGAAAAUCAAGCGGCUUAGGACGGAAAUGGAGGGGAAUAUAAAAGUGAUCCGUUCUUCGAUGUGUGCCAAGAGUAUGGUAUUGUUCGACACUUCACAGUUAGGGAUACACCACAACAGAAUGGAGUGGCAGAGCGUAUGAAUCGAACAUUGCUAGAGAAAGUUCGAUGUAUGUUGUCCAAUGCUGGGUUGGGCAAGCAAUUUUGGGCUGAGGCUGUGACAUACGCUGGCCAUCUUGUUAAUCGUUUGCCAUCAUCUGCAUUAGAAAGAAAAACUCCUAUGGAGGUAUGGUCUGGAAAACCGGCUACAGAUUAUGAUUCCUUACAUGUGUUUGGAACCACUGCAUAUUACCAUGUGAAGGAGUCAAAGUUAGAUCCGAGGGCAAAGAAAGCUCUCUUUAUAGGAAUCACUUCUGGAGUGAAGGGAUUUCGUCUUUGGUGCUUAAGCACAAAGAAAAUGAUCUGUAGCAGAGAUGUUACCUUUGAUGAAUCUGCCACAUUGAAAAAGGUAGCAGAUAAAGAUAUUCAGACGAGCAAUACUCCACAGCAGGUGGAGUGUACUCCAAAACAGGUGGAGUUUGAGCAGAUGGGGAUUUGCCCAGUUAAUAAGUCUAAUUCUCCAGCCACAAUGGAGGAAUUAGAGGUUGAAGAGGUUCUGACCCAAGAACCACUAAGUACACCAGAACCAGUUGUAGUUGUAAGGCCACGGAGAGAAAUUCGUAAACCUGCUCGAUUUACUGAUAUGGUGGCCUACGCCCUUCCCGUUGUUGAUGAUAUUCCUAUCACUUAUCAAGAAGCAAUGCAAAGCUUAGAAAGUGAUAAAUGGAAAAGCGCCAUGGAUGAAGAAAUGCAGUCUCUCCGGAAGAAUAAUACUUGGGAGUUGGCGCAAUUACCGAAAGGUAAAAGGGCAAUCGGAUGCAAGUGGGUAUUCGCAAAGAAAGAUGGAUCUCCUAGCAAGAAGGAUAUUCGCUACAAGGCAAGAUUGGUAGCUAAAGGCUACGCUCAGAAGGAGGGAAUUGACUACAAUGAUGUAUUUUCCCCUGUUGUGAAGCAUUCCUCUAUUAGAAUUUUGUUGGCCUUGGUAGCACAGUUGAAUUUGGAGCUAGCUCAACUUGAUGUUAAGACGGCUUUCUUGCAUGGUGAGUUAGAAGAGGAGAUCUAUAUGACUCAGCCAGAAGGAUACACAGAUGCUGGUGGUAGAAAUUGGGUUUGUAAGCUUAACAAAUCGCUAUAUGGAUUGAAGCAAUCCCCGAGGCAGUGGUACAAGCGAUUUGAUAGCUUUAUGAGAAGGCAGAAGUACACAAGAAGCAAAUAUGACAAUUGUGUAUAUUUGCAGAAGCUGCAUGACGGAUCUUUCAUUUAUCUACUCUUGUAUGUUGAUGAUAUGUUAAUCGCUUCGAAGAGCCAAAAUGAGAUAGAUAAGCUGAAGGCUCAGUUGAAUCAAGAGUUUGAGAUGAAAGAUCUAGGUGAGGCCAAGAAGAUUCUCGGCAUGGAGAUAAGUAGAGAUAGACCGAGAGGCAAGCUCUGUUUAAAUCAGAAGCAAUAUCUGAAAAAGGUAUUACAAUGUUUUGGUGUAAAUGAAAACACAAAACAUGUAAGUACCCCACUUGCUUCUCAUUUGAAACUUAGUGCUCAAUUAUCUCCGAAAACUGAAGAAGAAAGAGAAUAUAUGGCGAAAGUCCCAUAUGCUAAUGCAGUUGGGAGUUUGAUGUAUGCGAUGGUAUGUACGAGGCCUGACAUUUCACAAGCUAUUGGAGUUGUGAGCAGGUAUAUGCAUGAUCCUGGAAAAGGACAUUGGCAAGCUGUGAAAUGGAUUCUACGGUAUCUUCGAAAAACCGUAGAUGUUGGUUUAAUUUUUGAACAGGAUGAAGCACUUGGUCAGUUUGUAGUUGGAUAUGUUGAUUCCGACUUUGCUGGUGAUUUAGAUAAACGUCGUUCAACUACGGGGUAUCUGUUUACUCUUGCGAAAGCCCCAGUGAGUUGGAAGUCUACCUUACAGUCUACAGUAGCUGUGUCUACUACAGAGGCAGAAUAUAUGGCAGUUACAGAAGCUGUUAAGGAGGCUAUUUGGCUUAAUGGAUUGUUGAAAGACUUAGGAGUUGUUCAAAGUCACAUAAGUUUAUAUUGUGACAGUCAGAGCGCUAUUCAUUUAGCGAAAAAUCAAGUCUAUCAUUCAAGAACCAAGCAUAUCGACGUAAGAUAUCACUUUGUGCGGGAAGUCUUUGAAAAAGGAAAAAUUCUACUUCAGAAGAUUCCGACAGCAGAUAAUCUCGCAGAUAUGAUGACCAAGGUGGUAACAACAAUCAAGUUUAAUCAUUGUUUGAACUUGAUUAACAUCCUGAGAAUUUGAGCACCUUCAGGUGUAUGGCGCUCGAGAGUGCAUUUGUAGGCACUACAAAAGACAGCUUUAUCGAAUUUGGGGAGUUGAAGGAAGUGUGUGAAGAUGUGAUUAUCCUAAUCAAAUCUUCAAGGUGGAGAUUGUUAACAUUAAUGGGAGACAACAUUAAUGGCAAACAAUACAAAGUGGUGCAAGUUUAGCACCUUAAAGUUGACUUUGAAAAAGUGGCAUGGGAUAAUUUUUUUUGGUCCUUGAGAUAAUGGGCUAUUUAUUGUUUGGUCCUUAAACCUCAACUAUAAAUAGGCCUUCUCAUUUCUCAUUUCAAUCAUCCCAACCAAUCUUUCUCUCUUAGUUUUCUCUCUUCUCCCAUUUGAGAAUUCUCAAGGAAUUCUAUUUGUUUGUAAUAUUGUGAAGAUAGUAAAGUUAUCAUCUGGUGUUAGUGCCCGAGGACGUAGGUAUAAUUUACCGAACCUCGUUAAAACUCUUGUGUUCUUUCUUGUCCUAUUUUUCUUUCAAUAUUUGAGGGUAUAAUAGUAGUAUUUAAUUGUGCUAUUAAAUUACUAUAGAAGGGAUAUUCUGACUAAGGAAAGACUUGGUAUUUAAGAGAUCCAUGUGAUCCACCUCUCUUCCCUGGGAAUUGAACUUUGUGUGAUUUUUUAGUACAAUAAUUUACACGCUUCCGACCCUAUUGGAACAACAAUAUUGACAGCCAGCAGAAACUAAUUACUACUGAUGCAAUUUCAUUUAGUCAUUUAAAGCAUUAAAAGAAAAAAAAAUUUCUCUGAGGCAACCAAAAUAAAAACAUUGCAUUAAUGCAUAGAAAUUAAAGCUUAGUAAAUAUAGAGUUUGGGAGAAUACAUAAAGAAAAUAAUUCAAUGGAUGAAAUUUGUUUUAAAGCUUAUAAUUGAGUUUGGAAGGAUAGUGUACUUGUGUUUUGGCAUGCACUGAUUGCUUUGAAUCAACACUAAAUCUUGUGGUUACGUUGGGACAACAAAAAAAGACACAUUUUUUCCAUUUCCAUUCACCUAGUGAAAACUUUUAACAGAGGAAGAAGAAUAACAAAUAAUUUCAAAACAGAGUCGAAAAUAAGAAGUCUGGAAAUCCAGCCUUGGAUAACAAAUAUCAUCAGCAAAUAAGUUAUAUUCUAUGGUCUAGUUCAACAACUAGCCAAGUAACAGGUCAUGUACAUUGAGAAUGGUUUUGAUAACUCUAAUUGUUGAAAGUCCAAAUUCAGUCAUCCAUAAAAAAAAAGCAAUUGAUCUUUGCAUAUCCCUGAAUCAAAAUAGACUCUCAGAUAACUUUACCCUUUCAAUCAUUAAAUGGCACCUUUCCCUGCAGUCAUCCAUAAGCAAGAAGAAAGAAUUCCUAAAAAUGGCUUCUUUUUUUUUUUUAAACCUUAAAUCCUUUUGUUUUCAUUAAAAAAAUUCACCUAAUUCAUUUUCUGCCCAAGCCCAAAGGCCCUUCCCUUCAAACAAUUUCCAUGAAGAUACCAGUAGGAACCAGAAUUACUUUUGCUCUCUCCAACAUGGUAAAGCUGCUAUUUUACAUGGUAAAAAGACACGCAAAGCAUCCAAAUCCUUAAAAACCAACCACUAAAAUGAUCACGAUUGUGAUAGUUUUUCCCCGGAGGUUCCCAAAGAAACAUCAGAACCAGCUAUUAAAAGUUGACAACGAAUUGAAUUCCGAGCAAAUAUCAGAAACAAAGAGGCAUGGGUAUUGAAGAUUAAAAGCCAAAGAGAGGAAGAAAGAUAAAAUAUGACCAAAUAAAUGGAAGAAUCUUAAAACGUUGACAGUUACCUGAAAGAAGUAUAGCUAUAGAAUUCAACAUCCAAACACAUAAAGAGAAGUGAAGCAGCGGAGAAAACAGUCUGUCCCAAACGAAGAGCCAAGCUGGCGCUUGUUCCCAACGCCCCUGGCACUGCUUCCAUCGUCCCUCAUGUCAUCUUAUCUUUCUGUUUCUUCUUCUUUAGUGUAUUCCCCUAAAACCCAAUAAAAAAGCAGAGGCCAAACACUAGGAGAAGGGAUUGAAACAAUAGAAUUCAUGGCAGAUUUGCCUGAGAAAGAGAGAAAGAGAGGAAACGAAACAGAACAUGCUGAGAAGAGAAGAUAUACGACGGACUUUUACCUGGAAGAGAAGAUGAAGAACGGAAGAAGGAAAAUGAAUGAAGAACGGAAAAAGGAGAAGGAGCCUUACCUGGAUGAAGGAGGAACCGGAAAAUGUCUUGCAGAAAUGAAAUCCAUAAGACAUUUUCCCCUAAAACCCAUUUAUUUUACUCGCGUCUUGGAAAAUCAGGAAAACAUUUUCCUGCAAACAAACAGACCUUCAAUUUAAACACUCGCAAUGAUGAAUUUUGAAAUCAACUCUUUAAAUAGAAAUGACUUCAUUUAUUGCUCUAUUCAUUUUCUGUUGGGGAUCAACUCAAUUAAGGGCCUAUUUAGUAUUACUUAAAAAAAGUAUUUUUGAAAAAAAUACUGUGCUAAACAAAUUGUUUUUGGUUGAAAUUUGUGUUGCAUAGUCAUCGACAAUCCUUUGCUGCAUCGUUUUUCAUUCUGUUUCUCUUCGCUUCGCUUUCUCCAGUAAAACCACCUGCCAUUUAGUUUCUCAUCAUUCCUCUCUUUCUUCUACUUCUUCUUCUUCUUCUUCUUCUUUUUUUUUUUUUUUUGCAUACAUAAAUUUAUCCCUGCGCCAGACUACUCUAUCAUGCUGCAACUGCUUUGACGUCUUUGCCUUGUACAAUAUAGUUUAAGUUUGAUCUUGUUUCUAUUUUUAUCUCUUCCUUUUCAUGUUCUUUGUACUUGUAAUAACCAUUUACCCUAGAUUCAAAAAAAAAAAAAAAAACUUUGCUUAUUUUCUUUUAUAUAUGUGGGCUAGAAGACUUCAUUAAUUGAAGGAAGAGGGAGACUUCAUUUGAGAUUGAGGUGAGUUUUCUUGGCUUUUUUCGAAGAGUUGUGUCUUAGAAACAAAUGGAGCUGUUCUUUCAACUCAGUCCAACUGAAAACACAACGAGAAAUUUAAUAAACAAAUAAAAUCAUAUACGAGUGUAAUGUCAUAUAAUUAUAACUAAAAAUAAGAAUUCAAAAUAUUUUCACCCUCACACUAAUAAUAUUACAGAUAUAAUGCUGGAAAAUAUAAUAAACAAAUCCACUUACCAUUUCAAAAUCCAAACAGUCUUUUAGCUCUUACUUGCUUCAAGAAAAACAUAAAAGAUCAAAAAAAAAUAUAGAGCAACUUCAAUUUAUAUAUAAAAAACAGAAAUGAAGCAUAUAUAAAUAGAUUUACCUCACUUGGGAACUUUUUAUUUUUAUUUUUUUAAUCUUUUUUCUAAUAGUUAGUCCAUUCUUUUUUAAUCUUUGAUUAAUGAGCAGAAUUCACAUACCUUGUUUUUCCUUAUAGCUCAAUAAAUCUGUCUUCGAUUUAACGAAUAAAUGGCAUUCAAUUUAAACAUUCACAAUACUAAAUUUUCAAAUAGAAAUUUCUUCAUUUACUGCUCCAUUCAUUUUAAAAUUCAAAAUGUCUUUCAUCUUCCUCUUUGGUCCAUUCUAUAUCACUACCAAUUGGCCAUGCAAUUUCUUGAGCUGUAGCAGAUUCUUCCACUAUAAUUUCAUCAACUGAUUGGCUUGCCUGCAAAGCAAAUUAAACCUUCACUUAUUACUGUUUGCUUUUAAUCAUUGAUGCUGAAGAAAGCAAAUCCAGUUUUCCAAAAUUGGACAAAGGAUGUCAUAUUGAAAAUAAUAAUGCAACAAUGAUAUCUAGAAAGAAAUAUUGACAGCCAGCAGAAACUAAUUACUGCUGAUGCAAUUUCAUUUAGUCAUUUAAAGCAUUAAAAGAAAAAAAAAAGAAUUUCUCUGAGGCAACCAAAAUAAAAACAUUGCAUUAAUGCAUAGAAAUUAAAGCUUAGUAAAUAUAGAGUUUGGGAGAAUACAUAAAGAAAAUAAUUCAAUGGAUGAAAUUUGUUUUAAAGCUUAUAAUUGAGUUUGGAAGGAUAGUGUACCUGUGUUUUGGCAUGCACUGAUUGCUUUGAAUCAACACUAAAUCUUGUGGUUACGUUGGGACAACCUUUUACUUUUAAACGCCUAAAAGAUUGGAAAACAAAAUGAUAACCCACAGGGCUGAAGCUCACGAGGUUUGGUAGAUCAUCAAGCUGUAAGUAGGUUAAUCGAGGUAGGUGCAUCACUUUCUCUUUGUCCCUACUCACAUUUGACUCAUCUCCUUCAAACACCUGCUCUAAUUUGGAGACCCAUUUAAGGUAUAACCCAUUUAGGUUUGGAAGGCCGCCAUGAGCAAGAGUAAUGGGGAAGAGACAUUUCAAGUUUUCACAGUUAAUG